rnacentral:lncRNA from 1 species
UGAGAUAGUUUAAGAAAAUCUACUCUGUUCUUUCAGUACCGCAACUUCGCAAACCCACUACUACACAAGGAUCACAAGUCAGUCUCCACUCUUCAGCAGCGCAGCAAGAACAAGGAGGAGGAGGAGAGACGAUGGCUGGUCCGGCGAAGGCGUCGUGGAUGGUGGCCAUGAGCGUGGGCGCAGUCGAGGCACUCAAGGACCAGGUCGGGCUCUGCCGCUGGAACUACGCCCUAAGGUCCAUCCACUGUGCAGCCAAGGCCAACGUCCGCAGCGGCGUCUCGUAGGGUAACAAGCAGCUGCCUGCCUCAGUGGCCGCCGUGGCAGAGAGGCGGCGAGCGGAGAAGGCUGAGGAGGGGCUGAGGACUGUCAUGUACCUUAGCUGCUGGGGCCUAAAUUAAGAGUGGUAGUAGCUAGGAGGGCUGUGUUUGUUGCAGCAAGCAACUUAGUAUUAGUAAGCAUCCAUGGCCUGAGACUUGGCUCUGGUUGACCCCUGAUCGGUUUGUAAAGAUACACGACGAUGAUGAUGAUGCUGAAAAUUUUGGCUAUGAGUGCAUAAUUUAUAUCACCCUACUUGAUCCAUGUGCUUCAGUGGCUUUUUUGAAAGGCCAAAGGCCAUUCUGUAUGAAGAGGGGAAGAAAGUUCAGAGUUACACAGGGAGAUUCAGUCAGCAGAGCGAGGUGUUCGAUAGAAAACAGAGGAGCUUCAGCUGCCUGUACAGAACAGCCAAACUCUGAACAAAGGUAGAACAGUGAAAACCGAAAAGGAGUUCGAUCUCAGACCUUGUCUGAUCAAUUCGAACACCUCAAGGUCGCUGCAAUGGAGGCCGUUAGAGAUUCUACGUUGUGUUCCUUCCAAACAAUCAUUCUUCCUUCCAAACAAUCAUUCUUCUAGUUUAUUUUGACGUUGUAUGCAUUGCAUUGGCUUCUAUUGCUCGGAGUUGACUGUAAGUGUGUAACCACCCGCGGAUCCGAUCCAUGUCAUAGCGACGAGGUGGCAGGAGAGGAGGGUGAGACUUGGAGCAUAGAAAGGAGAUGGGCAUUCAGAUUUCACUCAUCGCGUGCUUAAGGAUGGCAAUUUUAUCCACAGGUACGGAUACCCGCGGGUACCGUACCCACAUGAGCAAGGUAUGGACACAUUUUUAUACCCAUGGGUAGUACCCAUACCUAUCUGUUAAGUUAUGGGUAGGGUACGAGUAUAGCAUUGUACCCGCAGGUAUACCCAUAUAUACCAUGCCCGUUUGUGAACUAAUGUUAAGUUGUCAUGAUUAAUCAUUAACUUGUCAUGUGACUUGUCUACUCCCAUUAACGGUAUACCCAUACCCUACCCGCUUGUGAACUAAUGUUAAGUUGUCAUGAAUUAAUCAUUAACUUGUCACGUGACUUGUCUACUCCCAUUGACUUUUGAGUAUGUUGUACUCAUGUAUCUGUUAUUGAGCUGAGAGAAUUGAUCUUUUUUCAUUAAACUUGCUAUCAAUGAGUGUAAAAAUGUGAACAAUUCAUGUACUGUUUAUUCUACCCGCCGGGUACCAAAUGAGUACGGGUACCCAUCGGGUAUGGGUACGGCUAAGGUUUGAUACCCAUGGGUACGGGUAUGGGUAGAAUUUUGUACCACUGACUAUACGGGUAUGGGUAUGGUAUUACUAUACCCUGCUCAUACCCUACCCAUUGCCAUCCUUACGCUCCUCUGCUGUGGUGAUCAGGUGUGACAAGGACGUCUUGCCCGACGAGAUCGUUGGUGGCGAACGUGCUCUGCAUUUCUUUGCUCUGCACUCUGCUGAACCGGCACGAUGAUAUGUAAAAGGAAUGUGAUGAGAGCCAUGACGUUAAUAAGUUAACUAAACGUGUUUUCUGAUCGGAGUGAUGACUGACAGAGUGAGCGAGACACGAUACUUUUUCAUGAGCAAACGCUGACAGGAAGCAGACGGCCGGCCGGCUCCCGGCGGUAUGGUGUAAACCAUGGCCUCCGGCAUCUGGUUUUCCCUGCCCGUCCGCGUCUCCUGAAGAGCAUGUGGCCAAAAAUCAUAGUUAACCUACGUAAGUCCGACUAAACCGCGUUGCAGAAAGGAUGAUUGUUAGUCUAAUCACUUGCCGAUCCCAAGACGAGGAGGAGAAGACUCCGGUACGCGCUGCGUGCGUGCCUAGAGUGGACUAAAUGAACUCAGUUGGAAGGUUUGCAUAAUGAGAUAUUAGAGCAAGUGGUACUACUCCCAGGCUCCCGGCAAGUGGAUAACACACUGACUUCAGCACAGUGAUAAGCUGACAGCAGCACACAACUUGCGGCACGCCGCAUUUCCCAACCUUGGCGUCCGACAACAACCUGAGCCGCCAACCAAGGCACCCGGUUUAGGCCCACGAGUUCACAAACCACGCACGCGCAGGCCGCCCUUUCGUACGAGGCAGCUCGCGACGGCCAGGGCCAGCACGUACGGUUACAUGCCGACAUCGGCAUCACCUAUAAAACUACCAAGAGGAGCACCGCCAUUUGGCAGGCAGCUGAGCACGCGCGCACACACACACAGCAACGAACGAAGCACUCUGCACUACUCACUCGAGCAAGGUUAUACCUGGAAUCGUGCAAUUAGUCCUAUGGCGAGCGGCGGCGGGAAGGCGACGGCUUCCUCCUGGGCGGCGGCGAUGACCGUGGAAUAUAAGUCAUUUCACAAAAAUGUACUACUCCAUUCGUUCAUUUUUAUAAGUCAUUUCAAACAACUCAAAAUAGGUUGUUUUGUAUAUUGUUUGAAAUGUCUUCAAAGUUUUAUAAAAGUGCACAGACGGAAUACUAGUUCAGAAUAUACACAGCGACAGCCUAUGAGCAGUACUUUGCCGACAACGACAGAACAAGGUAGCCUAUGAACCAGUUUGAGCAUCCCCAAUCGAUUGCGCUGGGUUCACUGAGGCAGCCACACUCCAGGUCUUGCAUCCAUUUGCUCCAUCCGCUCAGAGACAAUGCUCCCCUGUCAAACUGACUAUUUCGGUCCACCUACACAUGGCAUGAUAAGUUACAUCUAUUAUGAUUCACUAAGAACAAAAUCAUACACAAAUUUCCUAUAUGGUGGAAUGAUGAUGGUGGAGAUAGCGGUGGAGGCAACACCAGUAGAGGUGAUGGCACCGGCUCUACGGCCAGUGCGGGGCACCGACGGAGAGUCCUUCCUUAUCUUGGACUUUCCUAUAUGGUGGAGUGAUAUUGCCGUGGCAAUGGAGGUGUAGCAGUUCAUGGUAGAACGUGUGGGGCGAAUGAUAGACGAGGGAGGCACCGGCUAGGGAUGGUGUUGUACAUAUAGCCGGUCUCCAUGGUCUCAUGUACCUCCCCACCCCCCUUCCUUGAUCCAAGGGCUCUAGAGAAGUCCCAACCCCUCCUAAUACAUUCCUUGAUGGCCAAUGAUCCCGUAGGAACAAAUGUGGAUGAAAUCAAUGAAGAAUCGCGGAAGUUACAUGCAAAUCCGCAGCCAGGGUCGGGCGGUACAACCAUGCGCGAUCAUACCAUGCACUUCUGGAAUCUGCACGUUAUCUUUCAUAUUUUGGUCAUCAUUUCCUUAUAUGAACUGCAAUUUAGGCGUUCCUAGGCUCGUUGGAAUUUAUGGACGUGCCUGAUAAUCUCCUGAUAUUUGAUUUUCAAUUUGGGCUCGUUGGGAAAUGUUUUUUUGGUUAUACUCUCCAAAAAGCAUGAAUGUACUGCGUCUAAUUUCUUGGGUUUGACCCCAACUUGGUCCAUCAUGCUAAGUCCACGGGGCUCCAAUUAGAUAAAAAAAAGUGCAACGGGGCUCCAAUACACCUACAUAGACAAAACAAAAACCAAGGGAAAACUAAUGAAAAUGAAACGUUAGGCAAUGACCUCAAUAAAAUGCACAACAAUUUUUUUAUAUGCAAAAUUGACAUGAAAAUGGCUAGAUGGAUAUGAUAUCAGAGAUUUUGAUACGAAAAUGUGCAACAAGUGAGCUCUAAACCAUGACACAAGACCCACUCAUCAUCAACUUGUACUACUUCCUGGACCUCCCUGACAUCUCCAUGGCUGGUGUGACCAACUCCACAAAGAAGAUUGGUGAAGCAUCUGCCGCCGCCAUGGCUCUCACCUUUUCAACUCGAGAGUAUGAUUUGUUCAUCGCUUAUUUACUUAUUCAUGUGUUGACCAUAAUUGUUUUUUUAACACAGUACAGACGCAAACGCUCAUACAUAUGUGCAUACACUCACCCCUAUGACCACACACACGCACACCCUACCCAUAUGAGCACCUUCGAGAGACUGAGCCGGCAUACAUUAACCCAUCAAUUUUGGAUCCAAUUCGGGAUUUUUCUUGGGAAGUUUCGGGAAGAAAUUGGAAUGGAAUAAUAUAGAUUCAUACAGAGGAAAAAGUUCUCUAUUGAUGCAAACGCUGUACCUAGAGGAUAGGGAUAGAGGAAGAGGGAAAAUCGAAAUGAAAUAAAUAAAGAAUAAAGCCAAAAAAAUAAGUCGAAGAUAGAAGAGCCCAGAUUCCAAAUGAAGAAAUGGAAACUCGAAAAGGAUCCUUCUGAUUCUCAAAGAAUGACCAGCCAAAACUUUAGGAAUUCCUUGAUAGUUGGUAUAAAUUCGUAAGCCGGGUCGGCUGAUACGCUUUAAAAAGGUUCUUGUUCUAUAUAUUCCUUUUCUAGUCUUUCUCUUUUGAUGUCGUAAAGUUGAAACCAAGAAAUAUCUGUUACGUUCCUGAUGUUUCCAAACAGUUUCAAUAAAACCCUCUCGUAGAAGUAUUUUAACAAUGUUUUCGGUAAUAUUUGUAGAUACUACUCGAACUGUUCAUUUCUUAUUCAUGUCCGCAUUUCUUAUAGAGGUUAGUAAAUCAGCAAUAGUGUCCUUGCCCAUAAGACUCUAAUUCUAGGUUCCUCCUGAAAGUACCAGAGACUCCUAAAGGCAUACCAUCAGAAAAGCUUCCUUGACCAAUAGGGUAAAUCAAGGAAACAGCAGUAGCAGCUGCAACAGGAGCUGAAUAUGCAACAGCAAUCCAAGGACGCAUACCCAAACGGAAACUAAGUUCCCACUCACGACCCAUAUAACAAGCGCUCUACUCUAAAUCCAUAUGCUUUAAAUGGAUAAGAGAGAUAUGGAUUUUCCGCUCAACUCAAAUUGUAUCCUUUUCCUUCUGCUUGGACACGAAGAGAUAUGAAAUAUUUGACUAAGACUGGAUUUCAUUCCACUUUCCUAUUUCUGAACAACAACUUAUGUUAUCAACUAUUUCGUGUUUUCAAAGUUAUUUUAUUAAUUGUCUCAUACCCUAUUUUUGAUUUCGAUAGUAUGGUGUAGUGUAUCUUAUGCAAAGGAAUUCUAAGGUUUCUUUAUUUUAUUUUAUUAUGCAAUAAGAAGAAUUCUUCCAUUUUCUUUUUCUUUAGUUGCGGGAAAACCCAAAUUAAAACUUCUAUUUUAUAGCGAGCGCAAUUUAUAGUAAAAAAUCCUGUAUCCUUCCACUUAGAUCAAAAGGAAUUUUUCCACUAGAACUAUGGAACCCCCGAGUGGUUGCGGUUGUACCUGUACUGCAGGAAUACGAAAACUCUUUCUCAAUCCUUUCGACCUUGGUUCCAUAGGAGCAAGUCAGAAAGGUUGAGAAAUAGAACCAUCUGAUUUGAUUCGUUCCCAAUAGCCAUGAGAUGAUCAUCUUAGGGUGAUCCUUUUGUCAACCGAUGCUCCUAUUACACUCGUAGUCUCUGAAGGAUGAGAACCCACUAUGUAGCAUCUACAUCGAUAAUUCAAGCAUUGUAUACGUCAUUAGUCUGAUUCUUUGUAGGAACUACCCGUAAUAACGAACUUGCAAAAUGGAUCUGUUUAUCAUAAAGAGAUUCAUUGUUCCUGACCCUGCUUCACCUUAAUUGUUAUUUGAACAAAAAGACCGUUUCUGUUUUUUUACAAUAAACUCUUGCUUUGCCCAAUAGAAACACAAACACUGCUUGAAAGAGUUGGAACUUCUUUUUUCUAACUUGCAGGAAACACCACAUAUGCUAGAGCAUGCAAAAUACAUGGAGCCAUGGAGAUUGCGUCUCACCUUCUCAAGUCGUUGGAGCAGAGCAGUCUUAAACUGCCUGACUCCGCGACCGAUAGAAUUCUGAUCUAGCCGGUGCGCCUUCUCGAAUGCGUAAAACCGACCUAUGUUCGCAGCAAAAAAAAAGUCUAUGAUGAAUUUGGAAAACUCUCACUCUUACUCUAUGGCUCGGACUUAAUGGGGAAAGAAAACAUCUUCCAGAAUUUCUUUUUUGUUCAAUUCUGGACAAAAAAGAAAAGGAAAAAAAGGAAUUUAUAGGGACAGUGUUACCCCCUAUAUCCCCUAGUUUAUAUUGUAGGAAUAAUAAAACAAUUUAGCAGUCUGACACACUCAUGUCCUUAUUAUCUUGAGAUUUACGAAGUCACCGUAGGCACCUCAUCGUUGACGGAAACGUCUCUUCCCACUAAAAGUGUGUCGCUAGAAAUCCUGAAUAACUGCUGCUAUCAUAGAUUUAACUAUGCUAUGUCUAGUACGUCUCAUACAUUUAUCUACCAAUAUGAGAUUAAUAUUGUUAAAGUAUCAUCAGAUUUAUUUAUGAAUUAAAUUAAUCAGAAAACUGGUAAUAUACCCGGCAUAGAAGGAGGAGGGUUUGAGGACUUUCAUGUACCUCAGCUGUUGGGGCCCAAAUUAGGAUGGAGUGCUAGUACAAGGUUAGGGGUGGUGUGCUCGCUGCAGCAAGUAGUAGCAGCAGAACUUACAAAUAGUUUCUUUUUCCUAAGUGGUGGCUAGGCAUACACCUCCCCUCCAAGCAUCACUUGUCAGUCUAUGGAUUCGCCUCCCCUCCACCUGCCUCUCCGGUGCUCGGUGGCAUGAAGGAGAAUCAUGUCUCAAUUUUGGUUAGUAGUUUAAGUUAAGGUUUCUAGUCCUCAUAGGGGUGGCGUUCAGGCGGAUUCAGCGUACAAGUGGGAUACGAGAGAGGGGGAAGUUAAGAUUACAUGGACUUUGUCAGAAAGGUUGAACCUGAACCCUGUCGCUAACAACCUAAUAAGUUUGUUUUGAAGGAACCAUAAGUGAUUUCUCCCUAAUAAGUUUCUUCAUUGCAGUCCCAUUUGCAAUUGUAGGUACGCCGCAUAGAAUGCACGCAUGAUGUUUUUGCAUGAGAACCAAUCAUGUAGAAAACCAACACCGGAGCAAGACAUACCGACUGCGGACCAUCGAGGUAUAGCCCUCUGGGAGAGAGAGACGACCUCAAUGAACCAUAGAUUAUCAACAAACACAACAUGUAAUGACCUUGAGAUAAAGUAACAAAGACAAUUGCAAUUCCAUCUCUUGAGAGGCAACACUAGCGAGCCACAACACCUGUUCUUCUCCCGUGCAUGUCUCUUGCCUUCAUGAUGGAGGCAAGAAAAAACUCAGGAUCAGGAGGGUGAAUUCACAUCUCACACACCACCUCCACCCUUUUCAACCCUACCACGGGGGGAAGUCUUGAUCGGGUCAGAAAUCCGGUUAGCCGGCAAGCUCCGACCACCCUAGCUCCAGCCCUCAUGACCACAAGAUGGAUCAUGAAGGGCAGAAGAGUAAAGACACGAUCGGGUUUAUUUGGAAGAAGGACAUAUAUACAAGAUCCAGGCCGCCCUCCCACUUACCACUAGCCAUCAUGGCUGUCGAAGAUGGUGGGGAGGGAGUCAGAGUGGAAGGGGAAGGAAAGGAGGGCUCUCAAAAUGUGUGCUGGCCAGAGCGAGAGCCAUGCCAUGGGGAGGCAUAACAUAUUUGCCUUUCCAAUUCUCGUCGAAUGACCAACAAUUUGGAUUUCUUCCUAGGUCCAUUGAAGCAAGAAAAUUGAAAAAUAGGUUAACUUUCUAACAAAAAUACGAGUUCCUUCCAAGUAAUUAACUAGAUCAAUAAUAUCGUAAUAAUUACUAUUCCGAUAAAUAAUUUUUCUCCACAAAUCUUUGUUAAGAUAUUUGCUAGGCACAUAUAUCAUAGAACUCCGUAUAAAAAUAUUUAAAGAUAAUACUAAAUCAAACACAUUGCAUUAUUUGUACAUCUAAGUGACACAAAAAUUAAUAUGUAUAUGAAUGUUGACAUACUAUUUUUUUUUUCAUUUUCUUACAUCUAGAUGUAAUUUAACAUAGUCGAAAACAAGUUUCUUAAAAUAACAUAUAUUGUGCAACAAAAUGGAGUUAGUUAAACAUUAUAGUUAUUUCAAUUGUAUAAUAGUUACAUUUAAGUUAAUACUUGUGGUUUAUGAUGUCAGUAUAACAGAGAAAAUAGUUUAAAAUUGUUUGGUAAUGUUGUAUCAAACCAAAAAAAUGUAUAGCUAUUAUGUUAUUUUACUAAGUAAAAGUAUUUAGUAUAAAUGGAUAAUAACCAAGUUUAUAAACUAUAUGUCUAGUAUACAUGGAAGCAAUCUCGUUGGACAAGGGAAACAAAAUAUUCUAGCUAGGAAGCAAAUUCAAAUUGCAUUGGAUUCACCACAGUUGGAAACAAUUUUUCUCAUAUGGAAGCAAAAUGCAUGGCCCCUAAUUACACGCAGCACUAACAGUAAGAAUAGACGAGGUCAUUGGAAGCAAUUAUUAGGGAUUGUUUCCUAAAACGGUGCUUCCAUUGCUAAAAAAUGCUUCCAACCAUGGAAACAAGAAUAUUUUUUGAUAUUCCAUAGAAGCAGCAUCGUGAUGCUUUUGAAACAAUGUAUAAUUAGACACAAUCUUGUUGUGUUCACCAAUUGAUGGAAACAUAUAAAAUAAUGCAUGUAAGAUGGAAAAAAAAUCCACAUUGAAGCAGUUCCUUCGGAAGCAAAACUGAAUAAAAUUGGAAACAACAUUUUUUGUAAGGCCACAAAUUAUAUCGCGUACAAUGCCAAUUUUCUACAGUUAUUACUCUCCUUACUGUCCCAAAAUUGUUGGCUAAAUAUAUGGAAAACCUUGAAUUAAUUUCCUAGAUAACGGAAGUAAUUAUUAGCAAAUCCCACGUAAUCAGCUCCGGUAGGUUUUAAUUUUAGAAACUGCACAUGCGCAGGGGCCUGCUCAUCUAGCGGCUAUAGACACUUCCAUCCAACGGCUUGCUACUGAUCUGGUAGGAAGCUAGGAUUAGUAGUCUGAGCCCUAGGAGUUCCCUUCAUGUUUUUUUAGAGAAAAGGCCAGAGCUUAAUGAGGGAGUCCUGGAUUAGGGGGUGUCCGGAUAGCCGAACUAUCACCGUUGGCCGGACUCCUGGACUAUGAAGAUAUAAGAUUGAAGACUUCGUCCCGUGUCCGGAUGGGACUUUCCUUGGCGUGGAAGGCAAGCUUGGCAAUACGGAUAUGUAGAUCUCCUACCAUUGUAACCGACUCUGUGUAACCCUAACCCUCUCCGGUGUCUAUAUAAACCGGAGGGUUUUAGUCCGUAGGACGAACAACAACCAUACCAUAGGCUAGCUUCUAGGGUUUAGCCUCUUCGAUCUCGUGGUAGAUCUACUCUUGUACUACCCAUAUCAUCAAUAUCAAUCAAUCAGGAGUAGGGUUUUACUUCCAUCGAGAUGGCCCGAACCUGGGUAAAAACAUCAUGUCCCUUGUCUCCUGUUACCAUCCGCCUAGAGGCACAGUUCGGGACCCCCUACCCGAGAUCCGCCGGUUUUGACACCGACAUUGGUGCUUUCAUUGAGAGUUCCUCUGUGUCAUCAUCUUUAGGCCCGAUGGCUCCUUCGAUCAUCAACAACGACGUGGUCCAGGGUGAGACUUUUCUCCCCGGACAGAUCUUCGUAUUCGGCGGCUUUGCACCGCGGGCCAAUUCGCUUGGCCAUCUGGAACAGAUCGAAAGAUACGCCCCUGGCCAUCAGGUCUGAUUUGGGAGUUUGAACUACACGGCUGACAUCCGCGGAGACUUGAUCUUCGACGGAUUCGAACCACAGCCAAGCGCGCCGUACUGUCUCGAUGGGUAUGAUCUAGCUCUGCCGCCGAACAGUGCCCUCGAGGCCGCACCAGCGUCCGCUCUGACCUUUAGCUCGGAGCCGACUUCGCCGAUCGAGGACGGGCGGCUGGACACUGCCUCGGGGGCUAUAAUCUCUACGGCGAUUGAGCCAAACACCAUCCCUGUCCUUUGCAAAGCCCAUGACUCCGAGGUGCCGGACUCCUCUCCGGACUCCGAACCUCCCGCGCCCCUACCAAUUAAAUCCGAUUGGGCGCCGGUUAUGGAGUUCACUGCCGCAGACGUCUUUCAGCACUCGCCCUUUGGCGACAUCCUAAAUUCACUAAAGUCUCUCUCUUUAUCAGGAGAGCCCUGGCCGGACUAUGGUCAGGAAGGUUGGGAUGCGGACGACGAAGAAAUUCAACACCCGCCCACCACCCACUUCAUAGCCACUGUCGAAAGUUUAAACGACAUACUUAAUUUCGACUCCGAAGACAUCGACGGUAUGGACGACGAUGUAGGAGAUAACCACAAACCAGCACCUAUAGGGUACUGGACAGCCACCCCAUCUCACGAUGUGUACAUGGUGGAUACACCUAAAGGAAGUGACGACGAGGAACAACGGGACGCUACGAAGGAUAAAUCCCUCGAAAAGCAAUCAAGACGGCGACGAAAGCGCCACACAAAGUCCCGCCUCGACAAAGAUGGCGGCCAUACAGACCCAGCCAUAGAGCAGGUCGAACAGGUGGAUGAUGAACAUGCCAUUGAACAACCGUCCGAACAGGACAACUUGGAUAAAUAACCCGUCCCCGGCGAAGAUAACAGUCCGGACGAUCUCAUACCGGACAAGUUGUUGGAGCAAAAGAACCUCCACAAAAGGCUCGUCGCCACUGCGCGUAGCCUGAAAAAGCAGAAGCGGAAGAUGCACUCAGAAUCAGAUGGAGCAAAGUACUCAACACCGCAGACAAAUACGGCGAUAGUCGCCAAACAAAGAGCUACCCGAAGCGCAAACUACUGCCCAAAUUCAAUGAGGAGGCCUUAGAGCCCCCACAAUCAAAGAACAAAGAGGCCGCCCGGUCGGAUAGACGACCACAUGACAAGCAUAGAGCGGCAAGCGGCGCCGCACACAAACCGGCACACGAUCCGCAAAAGGAUUCACAUCAAAAGGAUGGCCCAGUUAGGUCCAUCUACGGGCCAAGAAAGCAAGCUCUUCUAAGAAAUGCAACGCGCCAAAUAUCCGGACAUCACGACACACCCAAAUAUAGGGGAGCCGCACACCCCCUAUGUUUCACCGAUGAGGUCCUGGAUCACGAAUUCCCAGCGGGAUUUAAACCCGUAAACAUAGAGGCAUACGACGGAACAACAGACCCAGGAGUCUGGAUAGAUGAUUACAUCCUCCACAUACACAUGGCUAGAGGAGAUGAUCUCCACGCCAUAAAAUACUUACCCCUCAAGCUCAAAGGGCCAGCACGGCACUGGCUUAAAAGCCUCCCUGAAAAUACCAUUGGAAAUUGGGAAGAGCUCGAGGAUGCUUUUCGGGAAAAUUUUCAAGGGACUUAUGUCCGCCCUCCGGAUGCAGACGAUUUAAGUCACAUAACUCAACAACCUGGAGAGUCAGCCCGCAAAUUCUGGAACAGGUUCCUCACCAAAAAGAACCAAAUAGUCGACUGUCCGGACGCUGAAGCCUUAGCAGCUUUCAAACACAACGUCCGAGAAGAAUGGCUCGCCAGGCACCUUGGCCAGGAAAAGCCAAGAACAAUGGCCGCACUAACAAGCCUCAUGACCCGCUUUUGCGUGGGAGAGGAUAGUUGGCUAGCAAGAUGUAGUACCAGCGACCCAAGUACAUCCGAAGUAAGAGAUGGAAACGGGAAACCACGACGCAGCAAGGACCAGCGCCAGACAAGGGGAAACAGUCCAAAGAGCACGACAGUCAACGCCGGAUUCAAAAGCUCUCGGCAGAAUCAUAAAAAACUGCCCCUCAAGGAUAACAGCCACGAGCUAUCCAACUUAAACAAAAUCUUGGACAAAAUAUGCCAAAUCCACAGUACCCCCGGGAAGCCUGCAAAUCAUACCCACAGAGAUUGUUGGGUCUUCAAGCAGUCCGGCAAACUCAAUGCCGGACACAAGGGGCUCGACACACCAAGCAAAGACGAUGACGAACCCCGCAAGCAGAGCACCGGAAAACAAAAGAAUUUCCCACAAGAAGUCAAAACAGUAAACUCACUUCAUGUGAUAAAAGGGAAAAUCAUAACCACGCCCAUAGAAAUAUGCGCCGCACGGCCUAUCCCAGCGGAGUCCCGACAUUGGUUGUCAAAACCAAGCACCUUUGAUCAUUAGGAUUACUCCAGACGUAUCCGGAAUGUAGGAUGGACUGCCCUAAUAUUAGAUCCUAUAAUCGACGGACUCCAAUUCACAGAAGUCCUAAUGGACGGCGAUAGUGAUCUAAACCUGGUAUAUCAGGACACAAUCUGCAAAAUGGGGAUAGACCCAACCAAAAUUCGCCACAGCAACACCUCCUUCAAGGGGGUAAUGCCAGGCCUAUAUGCCCAUUGCACGGGCUCCCUACUGCUAGAAGUUGUGUUCGGCUCAUCCGACAACUUCCGCCGCGAAAAGUUAACCUUCCACAUCGCCCCAUUCAAAAGUAGUUAUCAAGCACUAUUGGGACGUGAAGCUUUCGCCCGCUUUAACGCAAUACCGCAUUAUGCAUCUCUUACACUUAAAAUGCCCGGUCCACGCGGCAUCAUCUCAUUAAAGGGAAAUAUCAAGUGUUACUCGAGCACGGAAGAAUGUGAGACUGCCUGGACAGUCACACACUAAUCCGUCUCUGCAAAACCAAGCACCUGAACAGGUCAUUCGGACCCCGGACACGGCUAGACGAGUCCGGCGUAAUCAUAUGAAGGCCUACUAGCCACACCCCCCCGUACAAGGGGCUGCAUGCAUGUACAACAAAACACAAUAAAGCUCAAUUUUAUUCGCUUUUCGAAUCGUACUCCUUUCAUUUAAUAUAGAGUACAUUUCUCGCACGAUCUUUCUUCAACUAAGUUCUUCUCAUUUACAGAUGAACACCAUGCUACACCCGUCCAUGAUACGGCACAACGGAGACACAGGCGCAGACAUGCAGUAGGGACCCGUUGCAAGGAUUCUUUUCAGAUUAAGACCAUGCGUAAACCUUUUUUACUGUCUCUUGUUGAUACACAUCCCCCGGUUUCUUGCUAUGACCGAGGAGGAGGCUAGCGUUUUGGCAUUGGCCGCGUCAGAAUUUUUUGCGUGUACCUGGACACUAGGGGCUUAGGGCAUUGUUCUGCCCGUUUUCAUAAAGUCCGAAUACCUUAGGGAGUGUUCGGCGUCUCGAGUUAGGCCUUAUAUGCAUCAGCUCCGAAUCAUGUCUUUGGUAAAAUGUUGGGUUUUCCCGGCUCCUAUGUUUUGCUGCCUUACGUUCCGCUCUAUCGGCUAACGCGGCACUAGGAGAACUACUGUGAUUGUGCCCGGGUUCGGCCUGGUGAGCACCUCAGUAGAGAAAGCCGAAAACUGACUGUCAUAAUAUAGCGUGAGACUGGUCAACCACUCAAUGACCCACUGGAAUGUUUAGAAUUCCUCCGCAUUAAGGAAGGACCGUUUCCCGGUCAGGCACAUACGCGCCCCAAAUUCGGGAGAGCAUGGUGCCCCUAGGGGCUAUAUAGUAGCCCCACCAUCGAACUCCUAUGGCUAAGUGAAAGUGAUAAAGCAUUAUAGUCUGAUUGCCUAGUUUGCUACGCUAUCACCUCCUUCACAGGACCAAGACGUUGGAUUAAGUGUGAAAAUGCGCUUUUUUGCAAACACCCCCGCACUAUGUGCGUGGGGGCUGAAGCCAAGGACUGCCAUCUUUCAGGUUAUAUAGACAUAUACAUUAACAGCCGCACAGGAGGUAUCUUAAUACUUGAAUGCACAAGUAUAAAAAGCCCUUAUAUUAUAUUGUUCCACAAAUCAUACAUGUCAUUUGAACAUAAUAUCCUUCGACAACUGCGUCUCUAUUGAACGAGCGCCCUGCAGGACUUCCUCAAAAUAGUGCUCGGCAGGUACUCGGCUUCUGUCCGAAUCAUGGGAUGCAACAUCGGUGGCCUUCAUCUCCUCCAGUAUGUCUUGACACGGGCGAGAGCCAUCCGCGAACCCUCUAUGCAUGCUGACCGCUUCAUUGCACUAAUAUGCGGCACCGCACCAAGGAACUGCUGCACCAAGCCAAAAUAACUCUUCAGCUCGGGCCUCUCCGGCCACAAAUGAGUCACGACAGACUUCAUGGCAAGUCCGGACAACCUAUUCAGCUCAGCUCAUUCGGCCAAACGAUCGGUCAAUGGAAGCAGACGCUCUGGACUAUGGAACUGCGACCAAAAAAGCUCCUCCAUUCCGUGAUCCUUUUGGCCUCGGAAGUGUUCGACUGCGUCUGCGACACUCGCCGCCAGGUCCAGAUAAGCAUCCUCCGCACCCCACAGCUGGCCCAACUGAGCAUACCUAGGAUCCUUGAAUUUCCUUCGCAGCAGAAAAGGCUUUCCAGCCGCAAUAUCUUCGGCCUGACGUAGCUCCUCUUUCAUAGCUCUCAUCGCAGAGCGAGCAUCCUUGGCCUCAGUAGCGGCCUUUUUCAGGUCCUCUUGUUCCGCUCAACUUUCUUUUUCAAGAAGCUCGCAACGGUCGGUAGCAUUCUUCAACUUUACGUCCAUCUCGGCCAUUUCUUUCUUGCUUUGGCAGUGAGCAGCCUGUUCGGCUCUCAGCUCUUCGGCCGCUUUUAAGGCAGUCACAUCACUUUUUCGGGCUUGCUCCUUGACUCGGGCGAGUUCCACCCGAAGGUCCUCCAUGGCAGCAGCACCAUCUGCGUCAAGCACACAUGUUGUAAGGCUCAGACAUUAAGCUACCUUACCGGGGUGUCCGUGAAGAAACUGCAUACCUUGUGACUUGUCCAGCCGCUUAUUGAUAAGCGCGAUGUCAGAUUCCGCCAUGUCAAGUUGCCGCUUUAGUUCGGCAAAUUCAUCAGUCUGGCUCACCACCGGACGCUUCGCCACCUACAAAGGAAGAGCGCAUAUUAUACCUGGGAUUAUGAUCCUCGGCGCGCUAUCAUUUUUGACAACGCACCGAGUCUCAGGGGCUACUAUCUAUACAGGGCGCAUUCUAUAUGCAAAACUGUCAGAAGGUACAUUAUUUUGCGUACCUUAAAACCCGUCAGUAAACUUAUGAUGGCGUCAUGCAAUCCAGUUUCAGUGGAUGAAAUCCUUUCAAUCACCGUACCCAUUAUAGCGCACGGUGAUCUUCUGAGAUAGAUGCUCGCUCGAGCAGAUCUUUCAGCUCCUCCGACCGUACACCAGUCGGUGCCGGACUCGUCCGAUGGCCUUUUUCGAAGGACGGAUGCAGAGGGUUUUGAGGGGACAUACGACUGCCUUCGGGCCCCGCCAGAUUAGGAGAAACCCUCCGCGACGACACCUCAGGGUCGUCCGCCUCGCAUGACGGUACAGCAGGCAGAGGUGUUUCACUCUCCAUCAUCUCCGGAUCAAGAUCCCCCGAAGACGAGCUCUGCUGAGAAGGGCCGAGAUCCGAACUACAAGGAAAAAUUUCGGUUAUCUUCGGAAAUAAAACAGGGAUGUCUCUCAUUUUAAGAAAACGCCCCUCUUUACUUACGGCUCGUUGGAGGGCUGAUCUCCUUGGGGAAAUAGUGCGGCCGGGGCAUCUCCCGGCACAGGACCCUCUGGCGAGGAUUUCUUCCCGUGCUUCGAGGCCUUGGUCUCCGGAUCUUCAGAGGCGGUCCUCUUCUCCCCUUGGAGGGAGGGAUUCUCGAUCCCUCCCUUCUUGAUAAACUCCUUCGCGGAGGUAGUAGCUCCCUUGUUCCCCCCUUCGCCUUCUUCAAAAGGCGCAGCCUCUAGCAUCCUGGUCAACACAAGAUCCGCGCGUGGUCUCAGGGAGGGGGGGCGAACACCGGAUCAGUUUUGCUUUAGCUAUCCACUCCUGUGCAAAGGACAACUCUUUUAAAGGCAAGUUUAUGAUAGAUAUACGGAUAGCAUGUCCAGGUACAUGACUACUUACUUGAGUAUCCGGGCGAUUGUAGUUUAGACCUGCGUCCUCGGUCAAUUUCGGACACAUUGCUCGUGAUCCGAAGAACAGUUGGUACAUCUCCACGGGCGUUACACCCAUAAAAUGUUGGAGAGCUCGUGGUCCCUCCGGAUUGAACUCCCACAGGCGGAGGGGGCGAUGUUUGCAGGGCAGGGUGCGAUGAAUCAGCAUGACCUGCGCUACUAUGACCAGAUUGAUCUCUCUCUCUAGGAGGUCUCGAAUACGGCCCUGCAACAAGGGCACGUCCUUGGACGGCCCCCAGUCGAGCCCUUCAUUGACCCAUGACGCUAGCCGCGGUGGAGGACCCGAGCGAAAGGCAGGUGGCGCCACCCAUUUGGUGCCCCUGGGAGCGGUGAUGUAAAACCACUCUUGCUGCCACAGACUGAGCUCCUCUUGGAAAGAGCACUCGGGCCAUGGAGUGUCAACAUUCUUGAUUAUAACAGCCCCUCCGCACGCUGCCUGCUGCCCCCUGAUCAUCUUUGGUUCCACUUUGAAGGUUUUGAGCCACAACCCGAAGUGAGGGGUAAUGCGGAGGAAGGAUUCACAUACGACAAUGAACGAUGAGAUGUGGAGGAUGGACUCCGGAUCCAAGUCAUGAAAUUCUAGCCCAUAAUAAAACAUGAGCCCCCUCACGAAGGGGUCCAUCGGGAAGCCUAACCCCCGAAGGAAGUGAGACAUGAACACCAUGCACUCACCAGGCUUGGGAGUGGGAAUAACUUACCCUUGGGCAGGCAGCCUGUGUGAAAUUUCGCCGGUUAGAUACCGGGCAUCUCUCAGCUUUAGCACGUCUUCUUUUGUGACGGAGGAAGGAAUCCACCAGCCUUGCAGGUCGGAGCCGGACAUCCUCGGAGGUCCGAAGCGCCCGAAUCUAGAGAUUUGGGUGUUGGAACUCGAGGCAAGAGGCGGAUUCAAUUGAGAUAGAAAGAAAGGAGCAGGCCUUGGUCCCGUUAUAAAGAGGUUGAAUACCAAGGGCCCUCCCCAUGACCGUUCGGGACUCGCCUUCGUUAGAGGAGGCGCGCCAACGGGCACGACUGGGUUACCCACACCCGCAUUAAUGAGAAUCCUGGAAGAAGGGGACACGAUCCCUGCUUUGACAAGACGUGCCAAGGAAACCGCCUCGCUAAACACGCUGAGGUGGGACAGUAAAAACGAUUCCAAUAAAGGCUUGGCCAUGGUGUGACGUCACGCCACAGAAUACGUCAAUAGAUCGAAUUUGUGUAAAGAUUAUUCUCUCUAUGGUGGUAUGUGGAACAUAUUUUGCAGAGCCGGACACUAUCCUUGUGUUCAAAAUCUUCUAUGAAGUAUUCGGAGGAGGAACCCGCCUUGCAAUGCCAAAGACAAUAUGCGUGUUGGACUCGUCAUCAUUGAAGCAUGGUUCAGGGGCUACUGAGGGAGUCCUGGAUUAGGGGGUGUCCGGAUAGCCGAACUAUCACCGUUGGCCGGACUCCUGGACUAUGAAGAUAUAAGAUUGAAGACUUCGUCCUGUGUCCGGAUGGGACUUUGCUUGGCAUGGAAGGCAAGCUUGGCAUUACGGAUAUGUAGAUCUCCUACCAUUGUAACCGACUCUGUGUAACCCUAACCCUCUCCGGUGUCUAUAUAAACCGGAGGGUUUUAGUCCGUAGGACGAACAACAAUCAUACCAUUGGCUAGCUUCUAGGGUUUAGCCUCUUCGAUCUCGUGGUAGAUCUACUCUUGUACUACCCAUAUCAUCAAUAUCAAUCAAGAAGGAGUAGGGUUUUACCUCCAUCGAGAGGGCCCGAACCUGGGUAAAAACAUCGUGUCCCUUGUCUCCUGUUACCAUCCGCCUAGACGCACAGUUCGGGACCCCCUACCCGAGAUCCGCCGGUUUUGACACCGACACCCAACUUUAUAGAUAUAGCCACCAGGUAGAGUCGUAACAAGCUACACAGACAACAACCAAAACUUCAACAUGUGGUGUCCACGUAGGAUCUUUUGCUACCCAAAAAUUUGUACUAAGUAGAGAUACUACUUGUGCAUCCAAAUAAAAAGCGCAUGGCAACCUCUGCUUCCCUCUGCAACAGGCAUAUCUUUUACUUUUUAGUAUUUACUUUUAUGCAAAGAGUCAAUAGUAUAAAUUCUCAUUUCAACCUCGAUUAUUCUCUAGUUGGCAAGCAUCAUGUGGUGGGGAAAGAUCUAGGCACAUAUGACCAGUCAAAUAUAUUUGAUCAUGAUUUAUUAUUGUUCACAAUUACCUCUAUGAUAAAUAAGUUGGGAGGCAAAAUAUUAAGCCCUUAUCUUUCUCUAUAUUCAAUGAACGCCAGUAGUUCUAAGAGUAUGCUUUGAGUAGUAGCAAUCAUGGUAGAUCAUAUGAUGAUUGAGUAUGUGGAGCUCUUACUUAGACCUUGUUGAAUAAGUUGAAUUGCAAUGCUUGGUGACUGAGAACAUAGGUUGUUGAGUUUCAAGAGAAUUCAUUGUCUGAACCUUUACAUGUGGAUUGGUUGCUACUUUAACAUGAGAGGUUUUAUAAGAAAGAAUUGUUGUUAUGAUGCUAGGAAAAGUGAUUGAAAUUAUCAUUGAUCAAACUUAUGCACUUUGCUAGCAUUCACACCUCAUAAAUUAUUUCUUUUAUCAUUUACCUACUCGAGGACAAGUAGGAAUUAAGUUUGGGGAUGCUGAUACGUCUCCAACAUAUCUAUAACUUAUGAAGUAUUCAUGCCAUGUUUAGAAUAAUUUUAUAUGGUUUUGGUAUGAUUUGCAUGGAACUAACCCGGACUAACGUUGUUUUCAGCAGAACUACCGUGGUGUUGUUUUUUGUGCAGAAAUGAAAGUUCUCCAAAUUUACUAAAACUUUUUGAUGAUUUUUUUGGAACAAAAGAGACCCCCGAAGCUUCGUGGAAGGACCAGAAGGUGAAGGAGUAGGGCACAAGACACCGGAGCGCACCAGGGGGCCGAGGCGCGUCCCGGUGGGUUGUGCUCACCUCGAGGCCCAUCUUUGCGUGAAACCGACGCUAAAAAAUCCUAUAAAUGGAUAAACCAUUAGAAAUAACCCUAGAUUAGCAGUUCCGUCACCGCAAACCUCUGUAGCCACGAAAAACUAAUCUAGACCCAGUUCCGGCACUCCACCGGAGGGGGGAAUCAUCACCGGUGGCCAUCUUUAUCAUCUCGGCGGUCACCAUGAUGAGGAGGGAGUAGUCCACCCUCGGGACUGAGGGUUUGUACCAGUAGCUAUGUGUUUAAUCUCUCUCUCUCUCUCUCUCUCUCUCUCUCUCUCUCGUGUUCUUGAGAUGUCACGAUCUUGAUGUAUCGCGGGGUUUGUUAAUAUAGUCGGAUCAGAUGGUGUUUCCCCUCUCUAUCUUGUUCUGAAUUGAGUUUUUCCUUUGAGAUUUUGUUUUAUCGGAUUGGAUACUUUUAUGGAUUUGAGAACACUUAAUUUAUGUCUUGCUAUGAGUACCCGUAGUGCCAAUGGGGUAUCAUAUUGAUUCACUUGAUAUGUGUUUGGGCACUCAACUCACGGAUUCCCGAGUUGACAUUGGGGUAAUCUAUGCAUAGGGGUUGAUGCACGUUCUCGUCUUUGUUUCUCUGGUAGAAAUCUUGGGGCACUCUUUGAGGUUCUUUUUGUUGGAUUGAGUAUUAUGAAUCUGAAAUUGUUUGAUGCAUAUCGUGUAAUCAACUCACGGAUACUCGCGAUGAUAUUGGAGUAUCUAGGUGGCACUAGAGUUGGUUGAUGUAUAUCAUAUGGUGUUAUUUUAGUAUGAACUCUUGGAUAGAUCGAAUGGAGAGAAUAGCUUUGUGUUAUUUUAGUACGAACUCUUGAAUAGAUCGAACGAAAAGAAUAGCUUUGAGGUGGUUUCGUACCCUACAAACAAUCUCUUCUUAUGUUCUCCGCUAGAUAAGAACUUUGGAGUGAUUCUUCAUCGCAAGUUGAGGGAUGGCUAUAUGAUGCAAUUAUAUUAGCAUUGUUGAGAGAUUGCACUAGCGAAAGUACGGACCCUAGGCCUCAUUUUAAGCAUUGCAAUACCAUUUGUGCUCUAUUUUAUCAAUUGCUACUUUGUUGUUUUUUAUUGUUCUUACUACAAAAACCAAUAUCUACUAUCCAUAUUACACUUGUAUCACCAUCUCUUUGCCGAACUAGUGCAGCUAUACAAAUUACCAUUGUAUUUGUGUGUUGGGGACACAAGAGACUUUUUAUUAUUUGGUUGCAGGGUUGUUUGAGAGAGAUCCUCUUCAUCCUACACCUCCCACGGAUUGAUAAACCUUAGGUCAUCCACUUGAAGGAAAAUUGCUACUGUCCUACAAAACUCUACGCUUGGAGGCCCAACAUGUGUCUACAAGAAUAAAGUUGCAUAGUAGACAUCAAGAGCCUACGGGUACCGUGCCCCCCCGGGCGCCCUGGGCCGCCCGCUACUGCAGGCGGUGGCUGCCGCCGCCACGCUGGUUGCAUCAGCCCCUCCUCCUUGUGGCUGCUGCUGGGGAGGCGCGGGGGCAUGGGUGGCGGCAACGGGUAUCACUCGGCGGGUGCGGGAGGACACGACUGGGUCGGCGCGGCCACCGCAGGUGGUGAAGGAGCCUGGGGAAUCCAUGGAAGGCGGCGAGGUGGAAGGCAGCGAUGGCAGGAGGUUGCGGCGACUACGAAGUCUGGCGGCUAUGGCAGGGAAGGCAGCAGUGGUGACGGGAAGAGGAAGGGGGUGGUGAUACGUCUCCAACGUAUCUAUAAUUUAUGAACCAUUCAUGCUAUAUUAUUAUCUCUUUUGAAUGUUUAUGGGCCUUAUUAUACACUUUUAUAUUACUUUUGGGACUAACCUAUUAACUGGAGGCCCAACCCAUAUUGCUGUUUUAUUGCCUAUUUCAGUAUUUCGAAGAAAAGGAAUAUCAAACGGAGUCCAAACGGAAUGAAACCUUUGGGAGCAUGAUUUUUGGAACAAACGUGAUCCAGGAGACUUGGAGUUGAAGUGAAGGAAGCUUUGAGGUGGCCACGAGGGUGGGGGCGCCCCCCCCUACUGGGCGUGCCCCCUGUCUCAUGGGCCCCUCGAGACUCUCCUUACCGACUUCUUUCGCCUAUAUAUUCCCAUAUACCCUAAAACCAUCGAAGAAAAAGAUAGAUCGGGAGUUCCGCCGCCGCAAGCCUCUGUAGCCACCAAAAACCUCUCAGGAGCCCGUUCUGGCACCAUGCCGGAGGGGGAAUCCCUCACCGGUGGCCAUCUUCAUCAUCCCGGCGCUCUCCAUGAUGAGGAGGGAGUAGUUCACCCUUGGGAUGAGGGUAUGUACCAGUAGCUAUGUGUGUGAUCUCUCUCUCUCUCUCUCGUGUUCUCUCUAUGGCAUGAUCUUGAUGUAUUGUGAGCUUUGCUAUUAUAGUUGGAUCUUAUGAUGUUUCUCCCCCUCUUCUCUCUUGUGAUGAAUUGAGUUUUCCUCUUGAAGUUAUCUUAUCGGAUUGAGUCUUUAAGGAUUUGAGAACACUUGAUGUAUGUCUUGCCGUGCUUAUCUGUGGUGACAAUGGGAUAUCACGUGAUCCACUUGAUGUAUGUUUUGGUGAUCAACUUGCGGGUUCCGCCCAUGAACCUAAGCAUAGGGUUUGGAACACGUUUUCGUCUUGACUCUCCGGUAGAAACUUUAGGGCACUCUUUGAAGUACUUUGUGUUGGUUGAAAAGAUGAAUCUGAGAUUGUGUGAUGCAUAUCGUAUAAUCAUGCCCACUGAUACUUGAGGUGACAUUGGAGUAUCUAGGUGACAUUAGGGUUUUGGUUGAUUUGUGUCUUAAGGUGUUAUUCUAGUAUGAACUCUAUGAUAGAUCAAACGGAAACAAUAGCUUCGUGUUAUUUUUACUACGGACUCUUGAAUAGAUCGAGCAGAAAGGAUAACUUUGAGGUGGUUUCGUACCCUGCCAUAAUCUCUUCGUUUGUUAUCCGCUAUUAGUGGCUUUGGAGUGACUCUUUGUUGCAUGUUGAGGGAUAGUUAUAUGAUCCAAGUAUGUCAUUAUUGUUGAGAGAACUUGCACUAGUGAAAGUAUGAACUCUAUGCCUUGUUUCCUAGCAUUGCAAUACCGUUUACGCUCACUUUUAUCACUUGUUACGUAAUGCGUCUCCAAUGUAUCUAUAAUUUUUGAUUGUUACAUGCUAUUAUAUUACCCCUUUUGGAUGUUUAUGGGCUUUAUUUUACACAUUUAUAUCAUUUUUGGGACUAACCUACUAAUCGGAGGCCCAGCCCAUAUUGCUGUUUUUUUUGCCUAUUUCAGUAUUUCGAAGAAAAGGAAUAUCAAACGGAGUCCAAACGGAAUGAAACCUUCGGGAGCGUGAUUUUUGGAACGAACAUGAUUCGAAGAGCUUGGAGUGCACGUCAAGAAGCUUCCGAGGGCCCCACGAGAUAGGGGGCCGCGCCCCCCCUGUAGGGCGCCACGAGAUAGGGGGCCGCGCCCCCUGUCUCGUGGGCCCCUCGGGCGGCCACCGACGUACUUCUUCCUCCUAUAUAUACCUACGUACCCCGAAAACAUCCAGGGGCACCAUUCCACCGCCGUAACCUUCGGGAGGUCUUCGCUCAAGUCAAGACAUACCAGGUACCCAUCACAAACUCAUCUCCCUCACAUUUACAUUAUUUGCCAUUUGCCUCUCGUUUUCCUCUCCCCCACUUCACCCUUGCCGUUUUAUUCGCCCUCUCUUUCCCAAUCUCCUCCUCUCUUUUUUCGCUUGCCAUUUUUCUGUUUGCUUGUGUGUUGGAUUACUUGUUGCCAUGCCACAAGAUAAUACCAAAUUGUGUGAUUUCUUGAAUACCAAUAAUAAUGAUUUCCUUAGUACUCCGAUUGCUCCUCUUAAUGAUGUUGAGUCUUGUGAAAUCAAUACCGCUUUGCUGAAUCUUGUUAUGAAAGAUCAAUUCGCCGGCCUUCCUAGUGAAGAUGCCGCUACUCAUCUAAACAAUUUUGUUUAUUUGUGUGAUAUGCAAAAGAAGAAAGAUACGGAUAACAAUAUUGUCAAAUUGAAGUUAUUUUUGUUUUCACUUAGAGAUCGUGCUAAAGUUUGGUUUUUGUCUUUGCCUGAAAAUAGUAUUGAUUCUUGGAACUAGUGCAAAGAUGCUUUUAUCACUAAGUAUUUUCCUCCCGCUAAGAUCAUCACUCUUAGGAACGAUAUUAUGAAUUUUAAACAACUUGAUCAUGAGCAUGUUGCCCAAUCUUGGGAAAGAAUGAAAUUGAUGCUUCACAAUUGCCCCACUCAUGGUUUGAAUUUAUGGAUGAUCAUACAAAAUUUUUAUGCCGGUUCAAACUUUGCUUCUAGAAAUCUCUUAGAUUCGGCCGCGGGAGGCACCUUUAUAGAAAUCACAUUAGGAGAUGCUACAAAAUUGCUUGAUAAUAUCAUGGAUAAUUAUUCUCAAUGGCACACCGAAAGAUCUUCUGGUAAAAAAGUGCAUACUAUAGAAGAAAUCAAUGUUUUGAGUGGAAAGAUGGAUGGACUUAUGAAGAUGUUUGCUACUAAAAAUACUCCUCUUUAUCCCAAUGAUAUGCCUUUGUCUUCCUUGAUUGAGAAUAAUAAUGAAUCUAUGGAUAUGAAUUUUGUUGGUAGGAAUAGUUUUGGAAACAAUGCUUAUAGAGGAAACUUUAAUGCUAGACCGUUCCCUAGUAAUUCCUCUAAUAAUUAUGGAAAUUCCUACAAUAAUUCUUAUGGUAAUUUUAAUAAGAUGACCUCUGAUUUUGAGAAUAGUGUGAAAGAAUUUAUGAUUUCUCAAAAGAAUUUUAAUGCUUUGCUUGAAGAAAAAUUUCUCAAAGUUGAUGAUUUGGUUAGGAACGUUGAUAGACUUUUGCUUGAUGUUGAUUCUCUUAAAGUUAGAUCUUCUCCUCCUAAGCAUGAUAUCAAUGAGUCUCUCAAAGUAAUGAGAAUUUCCAUUGAUGAGUGAAGGAAAGAACCGCUAGAUAGCGUGCUAAAAAAGAAAGAUUUAUACACUACAAGAAAUAUGUCAACUUGUGACCUUGACUAUUGGUCACUGAAAGGUUGUUGUUUUUCAUUUGCGACCUUUUUGUGACCAAAAACAGAAGGUCAAAAGCUAGCAGUCGUAAACUGAAAUUAACGACCUUCUCUGUGAGAAGGUCGUAGACGUUUACGACCAAAAUAUGCCUAUUGUUUUGGUUUGGUCACUAGCUAUCUUCCCAGGCCACGUCGGAUCCGACGGGGCAAGCUGAUGUGGCAAUAUUACGACCAAUUGAAAAGGUCAAAAAUUAGAAUCGGCCCAGUCCAAUUGGGUGUUUAUAUGGGCCUAGCCCAUUAAUUCAGCCAAUUUAGUGUAUUUUUUCUGUCAAUUUUUGUUUGCUUCAUGGGCCAAGCCCAACAUCGCAGCCUUUUUAUUUUUGGGCCAUGGCCAUUUUGACUGAGCAGUUCAAGUAUUUCUUUUUUUAAAGAUGGGUCCACUAUUCAGAUGGGUCCCAAUUGCUAAGGCCUCUUCCAGCCCAUCAAUAUUUUCAGCCCACUAAUGUAAAAGGGCUAGACGACAGAGAAAUAAUUGACUUUUUUUUUCAAGUUUGCUUUCAAAGCAACAUUUGUUUCAUCAUACAUCAAUUGUUGUGAUUACAUCUUCAUCACAUUAUAGACAUGAGAAGCAUCAACUAAAAGAUUGUAAUCAGCCAUGUUCAAAUAACCUUGGCAACAAAUAAAUAUCAUCACAGCUCUAGCAACUGCUAAUAUACAGUACAACUUCCGCUUAGGUGCAAACCUAUAGGAAGGCCAAACAGAAAAGAAAUUGCUGAAAUGAAAUCGCUGAUCACUAGCUUAGAUAUUCGAAGAUCACUGCUAUGAUGCCAAUUAGAUUUGGUUGCAGCCCUUCCAGUUUGGUAAGGGCAUCUCUCCAGCAUCAUCUCUCAUAACUAAAAGAAGAACAUAAACCAGCAUCAGAAUUUGCAACCUUUUGUCCUGCAAAAUAUUAGUAAUUGUUAAAACAAAGGAUUGAUGGCAAAAGUUAUUUCCAUAGUCGUUUGUUGGAUACUGGUGGUAGUUUGAGUUGAUAGGCUGAUUAGUUCAGUAAGUGUGUUAACAACCAGGUACAUUUCUCUCUAUAGACAAAUGAGGUAUAUAGUUUAGUGUGUUAAGCAUGUGACACAAAACAUUUUUUCUAUUUCAGCAUGAUAGACCAUAAAAAUAACUUUCUAAUUGUUGGCUUACUAGCUAUAUAGGUCCUGUUGUCGGCAACCAAAAGCAUUAGGCGGUGAAGAACAAUAUAUUUGCAAUGCAAUCUGUUAUAGACCAUAAAAAUAACUUGCUAAUUGCUGGUUUGCUGUUUCACCUGAAGAAAAAUACAACUCUACUACCACUACCAUUCAUUCAACUUACAGGAUCUAACAAUACUAGUGAGCGCACACAGACUAACAUCACAAGGCAGGAGAGAAUAGAGGGAAUAGGGACCUGAUGAUGAUAGUGUCGACGAUGAUCAGAUUGGGUAGAUCAUCCAUCUCCUCAUUGUGGUGCGCACCAAAAUGAUCUACACACAUAGAGAGUUAAACUGCAGCUCAGGCCCAAAUUCUACAAGACGUCUGAAGUACAGUAAUAUAUACAAUACAUCAUAGCAAGCUGACUGGACGAGUUUAGUUUGAACAACCCACUAAACAAUUUAGCAAUAAGAGCAUACAACUACAGCAAAACGGAGCAUAAUUUAGUUCUGAUAUGGACAACUGAAACAACUCCAAUUUUGGUUUUAAUAUGUAUGCAACACGCAUCAUUGACCACGGAGCAUACGACCACAGCAAAACAAGGGAGCAAUUCAGGGAAAGGAAUACUACAGUUGCUUGAGACAUGUGCUACUUGCUCGAAAGUAAUCAGCAACCAAUGAGUCAAUAAAAGUGUGCAAGUAGGCCACUCUACCCAGUGAGAUUAAUACACUACAGAAUCUAUCUAAGACAAGACCGCCACCGACAUUAAACUGUAUUAUAUUUCUGGACAACAAACUAAAUAGAUGGCUGCUCUCAAACCAUACAUCCAAACGAAGCAAACGAGUACUCUACGGAAACCUUAGAGCAUGCUUUACAACUCAUAUGUAGAGGCCAACUUGAAAUUAUGAGCAUAACAAACUCGUUUUUCAAUUAGAAGCUCGCUGCCCAAAACUGUUAGGUAGUGCAGUUUUUUAACUGAACCAAAUUCAGUUUACAGAAUAGCCAGAGAAAUCCAAUUCUAUAGCAGACAUGAUCAUAUUCCUAAUCCCAUCAAGAUUGUAUAGGGAAAUUCUAAGUAGCAUACAUAGCUUUGUCUUAUGUAAUUAGAAUUCUUGAGAUGCAAGAAAGGGCAAAACAAUCCACACCAAUAGUCCAACUAAUCAGCCCCGUUGUUAACAAACCUAUAGGGACUAGGUUGCUCCAGUGUUAUUGGAAUAACUAAAAUAAGACAAGGAGUAGAGAGACAACAGACUGGGUGUUGGCCGUUGGCCAGCAGUAGCCACGACAACGCAAGGAAGAAGGGAACAACAGGGAAUAGAUAAACAACUUACACAGAGGCACUUGUUUGCUGACUAGAAUGAAAACAGCCAACAACUCACAGCAAGGCAUUUAUAGUAAUAUACAGGAACACUAGAUGCAAUAACUAAAUCAGACGAAGUCCAAACUAUAUAAGUUGUGUCGGUGACAUUCGUCACAAUCUCUACACCAAACACUGCACCAGCGGCAGAGCCUAAGGCAAGUAGACAGGGGGGCGUCUAGUGGAUCUGACGAUGAUGUAGAGGAGCACAACAGAUGAGGAGAGGAAAAAGAGAGGGGACUUGGGCAGUGCGGAUCGAAUCAACCUUGCCCGCCGCUGGUGAGCUUGACCUGGAUGCCCUUGUCGACGAACUUGGCCAGGUCAAGCGUCGUCUCCUUGCGCCCCGCCUAAGCAGAAACAAACAACAACACAAGACUCACACCAAACAAAUAGAAUUAGCAAAACCUCAUGAAUGCAGGACACGUCUCGCCAGUGGUUAGAUCAAGGUACCAGCCAGCAUAUGCACUGAGCAGCAGCCAUAUAUCUCGAAUUGCAGCAUCACUUCACAACAUGCUACACUCUUAGGUAUGUUAAGCAGCGCCUAUUUAUCUGAACUUAGUGUUGAUAAAAAGUAUCUGCUGAAUUCCAUAGGGCAACAUAUGAAGUGAGGAGAUUUAUUCCUCAUGACACUACAGGUAGAUAUCAAGAACACAAAAUAAUGGGUAUAUAUGCAUGCUUAGAUCCCCCUCAUACUUGAAAUUUUAAGGAUACACAACCAUACUUAGAUCUCCCUCUACAUCACCACUAGGACUUGCAUUAACUUGAUCGCCAGUAACUAAAAGCCAUAGUAAUUGACAAGAUUUGCAUCAAGCCAAACUUACAGAGCUAGUACUGCUUGUUGGUCUUCUCGACGACAUGCCCAGCACUUGCAGCCGCGGCGUCUUGGUCAGUCUCAGCGACAUGCCCAGCAAUUGGCUCUGACACGGCUCCGAUGCCGCCGACUGACGUAUGAGGGCGACCAUGGUCGGAACCUGCCUGGACGUGCGCGGAUAGGGUCUCCAGAACCAGGUCCGCCACAGUCGCGUGUUGCACCGCCGGCCGUCGUGACGGCCUUGACGUGCUGGCCAUCGCCUGAUUUUGCUCCCCCACCCACUGCUCUGCCUACAGGUAUAUAUACCAAUAAAAUGAGGUAAAAUGAGAACCAACAGAGCACUUUUUGUAUUAUCAGAACAAAACUAAAAUUCAAACAACAACAUGGCCCUUGAUAUGGAAACAAUUCUGCAUGUAUAUACCAAUAAAAUGAGGUGAAAUGAGAACCAAUGGCACAAUGUCCAAAAAAGGCCAGCAGGAUGAAGCUAUAGCCAGCUAGCUAUGCACCAUCGGUGUCUGUAUGGCCAGCUCAGAAGCAUAACACGACUAACAUAAGGAGCGACACAACAGUUGUUGUGCUACCACAGAAAAAUUGGGAUUCAAACGUAACAUAGCCCUAGUACCGAAAUAAAAACGCUAGCAGAGUGAUGCUUGCUGCUAAUCCUUGUUACUACAUGGCCAUUUAGUGUCCUUGCUAACCACCGAACACAUACUGGACAAGAACAAACAGCAACCAAAUCAUACAGAUUUGCAAGCAUACAACAAAACCGUAUAUAUAACAAGUAAUGAAAGAUGAGCCUAUUUAUUUCAAAUCAUCCCGUCUCAAGAUCCUAACAACCUAUAGUGACCAAAAAGACCCUACUAGUACCAGAUGAGGUGAAGCAAACAAGCAAGGAGGGCAAAACACUGGCUACAUCACAUUCACUGCACUGAUGUGAUUGUCAAGCAGUACUAGACAUGACCCAAACACAGUACUAACAUUCAGCUCAUCUACUGGUUCACUGACGAAUUUGGUCCUUAGUUUAACCAAAGAAGCAGCGGCACGCCAGACAUGCUGAAAGUAUUGGGCUUGGGAGGAUGGGGAAGGAAGGAACGCGUACCUUGGCCGUGUAGGUGCUGUGGGACGUCGGGAGGGUGCUCGGAGUUGCUACCGGAGCCUCCUAGCUCGCCGUCGGGGAGCCAUGUGCCGCACCCAGGCAAAAGAAGGGGAUACAGUCCAUCGCCGGCCUCCAUCACGCUGCCGGUGCAGCAGUCACCGUAGGUCGAUGCAGAUCCGGCGCCCGAGGCGGAGGUUGGACGCGGCGGCUAGAGGGUGAAGGACGAGGGCGCGGUGGCCGCGGGAGGAGGAAUCCCUCUGUGCGCGCUCGAGUGGAUCUGGGGUGAAGGAGAGGGUAGGGGCGCCGGAGGUGGGGUAGAGGGCGGAGGCCGACGAUGGGCAAGACGAGGUCGCCGGAGGGGUUGGGAUUUGGGGACGGCGGCUGGAUUUGGGGGUAGAGGAGAAGGAGGAACACUUUCGACUGUGUUCGGUUGGGUUGGUGGCUUCGGUUGGUGGCUUCGGUUGGUUGUGUGGGGUUUUCAUUUGUGUAGGGUUCACAUGACGGAGACCUUCAUGAUCCCUCCGGCGUGCCUCCGCUGGUGGCAUCAGGCAGUAGCAAGGUGAGGCGAGCUCUCCUGGAACCUGUGGCGGAGGUGGAGAGGAAGAAGGCUGGGUGGGGGAGGAGGGGUCCGGAGUGGUUGGUUGGCUCGGAGUGGAUAAGGCUAGGGAGAACGGGAGGGAGGGAGGAGCUCCAUCUUGUCUAUGGUGAGGGUCGUCGAUGGUGGGCGGCGGCGUAUCGAGAUCUGAGGGAAGGAGAGGGUGACUUGGAGAUGGGGAUCUGGGAUCGAGGGGCUCGAGAGAGGGUGGAGCAGCGGCGCUUGGGUGGUGGGGGUCGAGCUCCGCCGGAGGGAGGUGGCCGACGCACGCAGGAGGGAAAGAGAAGAGGGGAGGCGACGGGGUUCGCCAUGGGAUUGAGCGGGGAAGGGAGGAGGAGAGGGGAGGCGUGCGGGGGCCGGAGAGCGAGGGGAGAAAGAAAGGAGGUGGGGGGUGGAUGAAAAAUGUCCAUGAGGACUAGGGUUUCGGCUUGGGUGGGCUUGGGUGAGGACAACCCUUAGAUCCGCAAAAAUCCAACGGUGUUCCAUCCACGAUCUGUGUGAAACGCCCACGGACCAAUCAAAAUGCAGCACACGCAUACGAUGUCAUGACCAUCUAAAUUGGUCAUAGUUAACUACAAAAUUGGUCGCAGUUAACUAAAAAUUCAUUUUCCAUUUAUUCGAGUUCCCAAAAUGAGUUUUUUUUGUCAAGCAUCUAUCAUAUAUUUGUUGCAAAAUUGGACCAAAUCAAUUUUCUAAAAUACUAGAACAUAUUUAAUGGACAAUUGACCAAAUUGUUGGGUGUCAAAAGUUUCGACCCACCUCUGGUGAAAAAGACAAAUUUCUGCCGAUCUAGUUGGAAGCGGGUCAAAUUUGAACUGUAGCUGCCUCAUAGUUUGCUCUUUAUUUUUUCCAAAAAUCAUUUCUAGGUACAUAAGUACCUAUUUAAUCAUAGAAACACAAAAAAAAUCCAAGAUUCAACCACUAGCUAGGAACGGUCAAGCCCACCGUUUUGACCGCAUUUUGAAACGGGCAUAAAAAAUUAAAAAAAUUAAAAAAUUUAAAAACCUUCGCAUUGUGUCAUUAUAUGUGACCAAGUUUUCAGGAAAAAUAAUAAACUUGUAAUACAGCAAUUAUUUUAAAAAAGUGUUCUCAGAAAUGAGCUAUCAUGCGUGAAGAUUCAGGGCUUUCAAGCCAAAUGAUCAAUCUUAUGGCCACAUUCAUGGCAUAGUUUGUUCAAAUUAUCUCAUAUUGUGCACGAGGGUGCAUCUUGGAAUUCCAAACAAUGUUGCCUAAGGGAGUUUUCAUUUUCUUUGCACGGAAAAUUCAUUUUCCAUUUUCCGAGUGCCCGAAAUGAGUUUUUUUGUGAAUGACCUACCAUAUAUUUGUUGCAAAAUUGGACCUAAUCAAUUUUAUAAAACACUAGGCCAUAUUUAAUGCACAAUUGACAAAAUGGUUGGGUGUCAAAAGUUUUGAUCCACCUUUGGUGAAAAAGACAAAUUCCCGCCGAUUCAGUAGGAAGCGGGUCAAAUUUGAACUGCAGCUGCCUCAUAUUUUGAUCUUUAUUUUUUCCAAAAAUCAAUUCUAGGUACAUAAGUAUCUAUUUAAUCAUAAAUACAUGGUUUGGUGGCGAUACGUCGAGGUUUGGACGGAGGCCGAGGGCCCCAACUCUAGAGCGCGUAAACUCGCAUGCCCGCCGCGUGGUCACCGCAUGACUGUGGCGUUGCCAUGUGUUCUAGGCUGUCUAGGCAUGUGUAGUAGGUUGGGCACUCCCCAGGUAGGUGCUAGGAAGAAAAUCACAACAUAAGAUUCUCACGAGGAGACAGAUGAUGCUCAAACAUGAAUAAGCAGCCAAGUGUUUAAUUAGCGGUACGAGAAAUGCACAUGUCUAAUGGGUGUGAGUUUUGGCUGAGGAUGAUCAAUUACUAAGAAGACCGUCUUCACAAAUUUUCAGCUUAAAAGGAGGAGCCUAGGUGGUACUUGCUUUGCAAAGUACCACACUGGACAUAAAUACAAAUGUUGAAGCCGGGCUCAAAAUAAUAAAUGGAUUGAGCUGGCAUCUGGUGGAUGAUGGUUAUUUGGGUAGAGGAAAGCACUGUCGAAAAUGGAUACCAUUUGGACAUGCCAAAGUGAUACUUCCUUCACAAAGUGUUUUUCUGAAUAGAAUAGGAAAAUGAAUAUUUUUGAAUUAUUUUUGAACUACGCAAGGAAGGUUUUUUACAUAUUUGACGAAGAUAUGACCCAAAGAAUUUAUGAGAUUUUUUUGGGAAUUUUGGGAAUGACAGAAAUACAGGUUCCUUCACAACCUAGGGCAAAAACUGCCACAUGGACAUGACACAUAGGCAAAACUGAUGAGGCGGCGCCUAGUCAUGGCAACCCACCACAAUUUACAAGGUUAUGAUCAUCUAUAUUGGUCAUGAUCAACUAGAAAUAAGGCAGCGAACCUGUGCUAUCUACUUUAUGACCAUUUCGUGUAAGGAAGUUACGACCUUUCUGACCAAAAUGGUCGUUAUAGUUUAGGGUUUCGAGCCCCCCGAACAGCUUUUGGCCAAUUGGUAUGAACUGGUCAUAGAUCUAUGACCAAUUCUUCCAGGGUCACUGACAGAAGGUCACUAGUUGACAUAUUUCUUGUAGUGAUAAAAGCGUGUUCUUCUAGUUUCCAUGGAAAUAAUGAUGAGGAUCUUAAAGUUAUUGAUGCGUCUCCGAUUAGAUCUAUGUCUUGCAAUAUGAAUUUUGAUGAUUAUGGGAGUGAUGAUGAAUCAACUUUGCCUGGAAGGCGUCCCAAAAAUAUGGAAUCUUUAGAUCUUGAUGUUAAAUUUGGUAAAAGUGAGAUUGGAGAAUCCUCAACUUCUAAUAAUAUUGAACCUACUAUCUCGGAUUUCAAUGAAUUUGAUUAUGAUAAUUGCUCUUUAAAAGGUUGUAUUUCCUUGUCGCAAUCCGUUGUUAAUUCUCCUCAUGCUUAUAGUAAAAACAAAGCUUUUACCAAACAUAUUGUUGAUGCCUUGAUGCAAUCUUAUGAUGAAAAACUUAAUUUGGUAGUUUCUAUACGUAGAAAACUUAAUGGUGAGUGGGAACCUACUAUAAAGAUUAGAAUUAAAGAUUAUGAGUGUUUUUCUUUGUGUGAUUUGGGUGCUAGUGUUUCCACGAUUCCGAAAACUUUAUGUGAUAUUCUAGGUUUCCAUGAUCUUGAUGAUUGCUCUUUAAAUUUGCACCUUGCGGAUUCCACCACUAAAAAGCCUAUGGGAAGGAUCAAUGAUGUUCUUAUUGAUCAAAUAGAAAUUUGGUGCCCGUAGAUUUUAUCGUUCUUGAUAUAGAUUGCAAUCUUUCUUGCCCUAUUAUUCUUGGUAGACCUUUCCUUAACGUGCGAUUAUUGAUAUGAAGGAAGGGAACAUUAGAUUCCAAUUUCCCUUAAAGAAAGGCAUGGAGAACUGUCCAAGAAAGAAGGUCAAAUUACCUUAUGAAUCUAUCAUGCGUGCUACUUAUAAAUUUAGUGCCAAAGAUGGCACUCGUUAGAUCUAUCCUUGCUUUUAUGCCUAGCUAGGGCCGUUAAACGAUAGCGCUAGUUAGGAGGCAACCCAAUUUUCUUUAUGUUUUUUGUUUUUUCUCCUGUUUAGUAAUAAAUCUUGCAUCUACCUUCUGUUUAGAUGUGUUUUUAUCUUUUAAUUAGUGUUUGUGUCAAGUAGAACCUAUAGGAUAACCUACGAUGAUAGUUGAUUUGAUUCUGCUGAAAAACAGAAACUUUGCACGCACGAAUAUAAUUUUGUUAAAUCACAGGAACGUCCUUUUGUGUUGAUUCUUUUUGCAUCUGUUCAAUACACAAAUUUUCCAGGACUUCCUAUUUUGGUAGGAUUUUUAGAGUUCCAGAAGUUUGCGUUAGUUACAAAUUGCUACAGACUGUUCUGUUCUUGACAGAUUCUGUUUUUCGUGUGUUGUUUGCUUAUUUCAAUGCAUCUAUGGAUAGUAAUUCAGUCUAUGAACCAUAAAGAAGUUGGAAUACAGUAGGUUUAACACCAUAUUAAAUAAAGAAUGAGUUCAUUGCAGUACCUUAUGUGGUGGUUUUGUUUUCUUUCACUAACAGAGCUUAUAAGAUUUCCUGUUAAGUUUUGUGUUGUGAAGUUUUAAAGUUUUGGGUAAAGCCUUUAUGGACUAUGGAAUAAAGGGUGGGAAAAGCCUAAGCUUGGGGAUGCCCAAGGCACGCCAAGAUAUUAAAGAAUAGCCAAAAUCCUAAGCUUGGGGAUGCCCUGGGAAGGCAUCCCCUCUUAUGUCUUCUUUCAUUGGUAACUUUACUUGAAGCUAUAUUUUUAUUCGCCACAUGAUAUGUGUUUUUCUUGGAGCAUCGUGUAUUAUAUUAGUCUUUGUUUUUUAGUUUACCACAAUCAUCCUUGCUGUACACACCUUUUGGGAGAAGCCUAUUUGAUUAGAUAUUUGCUAGAAUACUCUAUGUGCUUCACUUACAUCUUUUGAGCUCGAUAGUUUUUGCUCUAGUGCUUCACUUAUAUCUUUUAGAGCACGGUGGUGUCUUAAUUUUGAAGAAAUUGCUAGUCUCUCAUGCUUCACUUAGAUUAUUUUGAGAGUCUUUUAGAACAGCAUGGUAUUUGCUAUGAUCUUAAAGUUGGUCCUAGAAUGAUGAGCAUCCAAGUUGGGUAUAAUAAAAACUAUCAUAGAAAGUGAAUUGGAUGCUAUGAUCAAUUUGAUGCUUGAUAAUUGUUUUGAGAUAUGGAGGUAGUGAUAUUAAAGUCAUGCUAGUUGGUUGAUUAUGAAUUUAAAGAAUGCUUGUGUUGAAGUUUGUGAUUCCCGUAGCAUGCACGUAUGGUGAACCGCUUUGUGAUGAAGUUGGAGCACAAUUUUAUUUAUUGAUUGUCUUCCUUAUGAGUGGCGGUCGGGGACGAGCGAUGGUCUUUUCCUACCAAUCUAUCCCCCUAGGAGCAUGCACGUAGUGCUUUGGUUUUUGAUGACUUCUAAAUUUUUACAACAAGUAUAUGAGUUCUUUUGAUUAAUGUUGAGUCCAUGGAUUAUACGCACUCUUUCACUCUUCCACCAUUGCUAGCCUCUCUUGUACCGUGCAACUUUCACCGGUACCAUACACCCAUCAUUUACCUUCCUCAAAAUAGCCACCAUACCUACCUAUUAUGGAAUUUCCAUAGCCAUUCCGAGAUAUAUUGCCAUGCAACUUUCCACCUUUCCGUUCAUAUGACAUGCAUUACUUUUGCCAUAUUGCUUUUUGCAUGAUCAUGUAGUCGACAUCUUCAUAAUUUUCAUACAUGUCUCUCUUGAUUCAUUGCAUAUCCUGGUACACCGCCGGAGGCAUUCAUAUAGAGUCAUAUAUUGUUCUAGCUUUGAGUUGUAAAUCCAUAAAAGUGUGAUGAUCUUCAUUAUUAGAGCAUUGUCCUAGUGAGGAAAGGAUGAUGAAGACUAUGAUUCCCCCACAAGUCGGGAUGAGACUUCGGACUUCAAAAAAAGAAAAGAAAAAAGAAAGAAAGAAAAAAUAGAAAGGCCAAAAAGAAAAAAAGGGAAGGCCAAAGAAAAUAAAAAAAGAAAAAGAAAAAAAGAAGAAAAGAAAAAAAAAUGAGAGAAAAAGAGAGAAAGGACAAUGCUACUAUCUCUUUUUCAACACUUGUGCUUCAAAAUAGCACCAUGAUCUUCAUGUUAGAGAGUCUCAUAUGUUGUCACUUUCAUAUACUAGUGGGAUUUUUUCAUUAUAGAACUUGGCUUGUAUAUUCCAAUGAUGAGCUUUCUCAAAUGCCCGAGGUCUUCAUGAGCAAGCAAGUUGGAUGCACCCCACUUAGUUUCUUUUGUUGAGCUUUCAUAUAUUUAUAGCUCUAGUGCAUCUGUUGCAUGGCAAUCCCUUCUCACUCGCAUUGAUAUCUAUUAAUGGAAAACUCCAUAGCCCGUUGAUACGCCUAGUUGACGUGAGACUAUCUUCUCCUUUUUUGUCUUCUCCACAACCACCAUUCUAUUCCACAUAUAGUGCUAUGUCCAUGGCUCACGCUCAUGUAUUGCGUGAAAGUUGAAAAAGUUUGAAAUUAUUAAAGUAUGAAACAAUUGCUUGGCUUGUCAUCGGGGUUGUGCAUGAUUAAAUACUUUGUGUGAUGAAGAUAGAGCAACAGCCAGACUAUAUGAUUUUGUAGGGAUAACUUUCUUUAGCCAUGUUAUUUUGAGAAAACAUGAUUACUUUGAUUAGUAUGCUUGAAGUGUUACUAUUUCUUAUGUCAAUAUGAACUUUUAUUUUGUAUUCAUUUGGAUCUGAACAUUCAUGCCACAAUAUAUAAAAUUACAUUAUGAAUUAUGCUAGGUAGCAUUCCACAUCAAAAAUUCUCUUUUUCAUCAUUUACCUACUCGAGGACGAGCAGGAAUUAAGCUUGGGGAUGCUUGAUACGUCUCCAAUGUAUCUAUAAUUUUUGAUUGUUCCAUGCUAUUAUAUUAACCCUUUUGGAUGUUUAUGGGCUUUAUUUUACACAUUUAUAUCAUUUUUGGGACUAACCUACUAACCGAAGGCCCAACCCAUAUUGCUGUUUUUUUGCCUAUUUCAAUAUUUCGAAGAAAAGGAAUAUCAAACGGAUUCCAAACAGAAUGAAACCUUCGGGAGCGUUAUUUUUGGAACGAACAUGAUCCGGAGAGCUUGGAGUGCAAGUCAAGAAGCUUUUGAGGGCCCCACGAGAUAGCCCCCCCCCUGUAGGGCGCGCCCCUAUCUCAUGGGCCCCUCGGGCGGCCACCGACGUACUUCUUCCUCCUAUAUAUACCUACGUACCCCGAAAACAUCCAGGGGCACCACGAAACACAAUUUCCACCGCCGUAACCUUCUGUAUCCGCGAGAUCCCAUCUUGGAACCUUCGCCGGCACUCUGCCGGAGGGGGAAUAAACCACGGAGGGCCUCUACAUCAACAUCCUUGCCCCUCCGAUGAGUUGUGAGUAGUUUACCACAGACCUACGGGUCCAUAGUUUUUAGCUAGAUGGCUUCUUCUCUCUUUUUGGAUCUCUAUACAAUGUUCUCCCCCUCUCUUGUGGAGAUCUAUUUGAUGUAAAAUCUUUUUGCGGUGUGUUUGUUGAGAUUCAAUGAAUUGUGGGUUAAUGAUCAAGUUUAUCUAUGAAUAAUAUUUGAAUCUUCUCUGAAUUCUUUUAUGCAUGAUUGAGUUAUCUUUGGAAGUCUCUUCGAAUUAUCAGUUUGGUUUGGCCUACUAGAUUGGUCUUUCUUGCCAUGGGAGAAGUGCUUAGCUUUGGGUUCAAUCUUGCGGUGUCCUUACCUAGUGACAGAAAGGGUUGCAAGGCACGUAUUGUAUUGUUGCCAUCGAGGACAACAAGAUGGGGUUUAUAUCAUAUUGCAUGUGUUUAUCCCUCUACAUCAUGUCAUCUUGCUUAAUGUGUUGCUCUGUUCUUAUGAACUUAAUACUCUAGAUGCAGACAGGAGUCGGUCGAUGUGUGGAGUAAUAGUAGUAGAUGCAGGCAGGAGUCGGUCUACUUGUUAUGGACGUGAUGCCUAUAUACAUGAUCAUGCCUAGAUAAUCUCAUAACUAUGCACUUUUCUAUCAAUUGCUCGACAGUAAUUUGUUCACCCACCGUAAUACUUAUGCUAUCUUGAGAGAAGCCUCUAGUGAAACCUAUGGCCCCCCGGGUCUAUCUCUUAUCAUGUUUGCUUUCAAUCUACCUUUACUUCCGUCUUUACUUUUUGCAUCUAUAUUAUAAAAUACCAAAAAUAUAUUUAUCUUAUCAUACUAUCUUUAUUAGAUCUCACUUUCCCAAGUGGCCGUGAAGGGAUUGACAACCCCUUUAUUGCGUUGGUUGCGAGUUCUCAGUUUGUUUGUGUAGGUGCGUGGGACUUUUGAGGAGCGUCCUACUGGAUUGAUACCUUGGUUCUCAAAACUAAGGGAAAUACUUAUGCUACACUUUGCUGCAUCACCCUCUCCUCUUCGAGGAAAACCAACGCAAGCUCAAGACAUAGCAUUACCUUGCCGUUUUUAUAUUUUCAGAUUACAAAAACCUUUAUCUACCAUCCAUAUUGCACUUGUAUCACCAUCUCUUCGCCGAACUAGUGCACCUAUACAAUUUGCCAUUGUAUUGGGUGUGUUGGGUACACAAGAGACUCUUUGUUAUUUGGUUGCAUGGUUGUUUGAGAGAGACCAUCUUCAUCCUACGCCUCCCACGGAUUGAUAAACCUUAGGUCAUCCAUUUGAGGGAAAUUUGCUACUGUCUUACAAACCUCUGCACUUGGAGGCCCAACAACGUCUACAAGAAGAAGGUUGUGUAGUAGACAUCAAGCUCUUUUCUGGCGCCGGGCUUGAAGGUAUAUCUUUAGAUCUUGCAAUCGAAUCUUUUUGUUUCUUGUUUUAUCACUAGUUCAGUUUAUAAAAGAAAACUACAAAAAAAUGGAGUUGAGUUUGUCUCAUACGCUUCAUCUUUUUAAUAUCUAUCGUGAGUAUGAUGAAAAGGAAAAUUUUGCUCAAGUGCUAGAAGAAGAAUGUAUUAAAAUGCUUGGCAAUAAAUCUUUGAAUGAUGAGCAUGAUUGCAAUGUUGUUAGUAUGAAUUCCUUGAAUAUACAUGAUGCUAAUGAUAUGCAAAGCCACAAGCUUGGGGAUGCUAUGUUUCAUGAAGAUGAUAUUUUUUGUCCCCCAAGUUUUGAUGAGAAUAUUUGUUAUGAUUAUAGCAUGCCUCCUACUUAUGAUGAUUAUAUUGAUAAAAGUGGGUUUGGAAGAGUGUCAACUUUAGGAAGUAGUGACCCCACUAUUUUGGAGGAUGUUGAAUUUUAUUGUGAUGAAUAUGAAAGUGGAUUUGGAAGAGUGUCAACUUUAUUUAGUGAUGAUCCCACUAUCUUGGGAGAGGUUUCAAUCAAUUAUGAUGAGAACGAAGUUGCUACUUAUGAUGAUUAUUGUGAUGAAACUUAUAUAUAAAAAGUGGUGAUGAUUAUAUUUAUAAAACUUGUCAUGAUUAUGAUUACUCUUUUUCUGCACAUUACUCUUUUAAUGUGGAAACAAUUUAUAGUAUUCAAGUCUCUUAUGAUACUCCCUCUAUUCCGAAUGAGAAGGAUUUUGCUUAUGUGGAGAGUAGUAAAUUUUCUAUGCUUGUAGAUCAUGAAAAUAAUGCUUUAGGUGCUGGUUAUAUUGUUGAAUUCAUUCAUGAUGCUACUGAAAAUUAUUAUGAGGGAGGAACAUAUGCUUGUAGGAAUUGCAAUAAUGUCAAGUUUCCUCUCUAUGUGCUUCAAGUUUUGAACUUAUGCUUGUGUUGCCUUCCUAUGCUAGUUGAUUAUUGUUCGCAUAAGUUGUUUGCUCACAAAAUCCCUAUGCAUAGGAAGAGGGUUAGACUUAAACGUGAUAGUCAUAUGCUUCAUGAUGCUCCCGUUAUGUUUCAAUUCUUAUCUUUUAUGUGAGCAUCAUUGUCAUCAUCAUGCCUAGCUAGAACGGUAUUAAAGAAAAGCGCUUGUUGGGAGACAACCCAAUAUUUACCUUUGCUGUUUUUGUGUGUUCAUAUGAUUAUGCUACUGUAGUAAUCAUGUUUUAUAACUUUUGUUUCAAUAAAGUGCCAAGUAAGACCUUUAGGACAACUUACGGUGAUAGUUGUGUUGAUCCUGCUGAGAAUCAGAAAUUUUGGACCCAGUAAAUUAGUUUUGAUAAUUCACAGAAACGUGCUUAUGAUCUUAUUAUUUUUGCUCUGGAUUGGUACACAAAGUUCUUAGGACUUCCUAAUUUGGUAGGAUUUUUGGAGUUCCAUAAGUAUACUUUAGAUACAGAUUACUACAGACUACUCUGUUUUUGACAGAUUCUGUUUUCAUUGUGUUGUUUGCUUAUUUUGAUCACUCUAUGAGUAGUAUCAGAGGGUAUGAACCAUAGAAAAGUUGGAGUACAGUAGAUAUUACACCAAUAUGAAUUUAGAAUGAGUUCAUUACACUACCUAAGUGGUGGUUUUAUUUUCUUAUGCUAACGGAGCUUACGAGUUUUCUGGUGAGUUUUGUGUUGUGGAGUUUUCAAGUUUUGGGUAAAGAUUCGAUGGACUAUGGAAUAAGGAGUGGGUAUAUCCUAAGCUUGGGGAUGCCCAAGGAAACCCAAGGUAAUAUUCAAGGACAACCAAGAGCCUGUCACGACCGGUUUUUCAAUAAAAUACUUAUUGAGAAAUCAAUCUCUUGAUUCCAGUAUAGGAAGAGUUAUCCUUACUGGUAGACAAAUACUUGAAUACAGAAGACCAGUAGCAUCAAAUAUAUUACAGGGUUGAGCUGAGGAUGCUCAACAAUUUAUUACAAACACGCCAAUAUCAUACAUAAGGGCGGUUACGACACAGGGGUGUGGUGACAUGCUACAAGCUCGAGAUAAAAGUGGUGGUGGAUAACUUGACUCCUAACUGGCAGCUCAUCGAGCAUGGAGGUGAGGCUCGAUGAAUUUAUUUCUGGGGUAGCGGAAGCGGAUAUAAUACAGUGACCAAAUCCAAGAUUGCACGGGACUGACUGGGACUCCUCUAGGCGUCGGACUCGCUAUCGAACUCUUCAUCCAUGAGAUCGCCUUCGUCAACAUCUGGCCAAAUCAACAAGCCAGGUGAGUACUUUGAAAGUACUCGCAAGACAGUUCGGACAAAAGAUAUAACAAAUGCAUGCAUGAAUGCGUCAUGAGCAAAAAUAAUGAUGCUCAUCCAAAUAAUAAAAAUGCACGACAUGGUAAGUGAAACAAACAACUGAAAACCGAUCGGGUGUCUGGAGUGACGCCUCGAAAGGUAAACAAAUGAAAAUCAUGCCACAGUUGGGCGUCUAGGCGACACCACAUAAAGGGCUUAUGUUGAAAAGUAAAAGACAAGCGUGCCACAGUCGGACGUCUGAGCGACAUCGCAGAAAGGGCUUAUAUCAAAAGUAAAUAACAAGCGUGCCACAGUCGGACGUCUGAGCGACAUCACAGAAAGGGCUUAUAUCAAAAGUAAAUAACAGGUGUGCCACAGUCGGACAUCUGAGCGACAUCACAGAAAUGGCUUAUAUCAAAAGUAAAUAACAGGUGUGCCACAGUCGGACGUCUGAGCGACAUCACAGAAAGGGCUUAUAUCAAAANNNNNNNNNNNNNNNNNNNNNNNNNNNNNNNNNNNNNNNNNNNNNNNNNNNNNNNNNNNNNNNNNNNNNNNNNNNNNNNNNNNNNNNNNNNNNNNNNNNNNNNNNNNNNNNNNNNNNNNNNNNNNNNNNNNNNNNNNNNNNNNNNNNNNNNNNNNNNNNNNNNNNNNNNNNNNNNNNNNNNNNNNNNNNNNNNNNNNNNNNNNNNNNNNNNNNNNNNNNNNNNNNNNNNNNNNNNNNNNNNNNNNNNNNNNNNNNNNNNNNNNNNNNNNNNNNNNNNNNNNNNNNNNNNNNNNNNNNNNNNNNNNNNNNNNNNNNNNNNNNNNNNNNNNNNNNNNNNNNNNNNNNNNNNNNNNNNNNNNNNNNNNNNNNNNNNNNNNNNNNNNNNNNNGGCGACACCACAUAAAGGGCUUAUGUUGAAAAGUAAAAGACAAGCGUGCCACAGUCGGACGUCUGAGCGACAUCGCAGAAAGGGCUUAUAUCAAAAGUAAAUAACAAGCGUGCCACAGUCGGACGUCUGAGCGACAUCACAGAAAGGGCUUAUAUCAAAAGUAAAUAACAGGUGUGCCACAGUCGGACGUCUGAGCGACAUCACAGAAAGGGCUUAUAUCAAAAGUAAAUAACAGGUGUGCCACAGUCGAACGUCUGAGCGACAUCACAGAAAGGGCUUAUAUCAAAAAUAAAUAACAGGUUAGUCCAUCCAUAAGAAUAAACUUUUAACCGGACUUAACACUCAUGUAGUUCAUCGGAGUUCUGUCACUGAGACUCACAUUUGAUGAGAUAAGAUGAUCACAGUACUUGGACAUGUACAAGAUGGUUCAAGGGAUUUUUUACUCUGCAGAGUUUGUACUAACUACCCACAGCCAACGGAUUUAUGUAGUCACGAAUGACUAGUUCCGUUUACGGUAUUUCGGUAGAAACACAUCUAACCAGUACACACCCAUUCCACCUCAUGAUGCCAGGAAUCACCCUUGACAACGUCCAAUAAAAACUUUGAGACGGGGAGGUCACAACCUCGAAUAGCAUGGGAUCAAAUUUCUGUACGCUCGCUCUAAGGGGUGCCCCCCUCUCGGUCCCAACCGGAAACACCCAUGCCCCCUGACCGGAUGACGGGCUUUAAUCCAGGGCCAUGGAACCCUCAUCUCGGCCUCUCUAUUUGAUGUGUACCAGGAAGGUGGUUUGCAACUUACUAAGCCAUAUUCCUUGCGGAAAACAUGUGGUAGUACCGAAAAGGAAAUGAAUGGGAAUGUGACUUGAUUCACGUUGACACUGAAGUCAAAUAGUCUGGCGUAAGACUGGCAUGCCACAACACUGCCAUCUUACCCAUUGUCAUGCCAUCACAUGGCCAUGCAAACUUAUAUCCAACAACAUAUGGAUUUCCGAAACUCACUUGCCUUAUCUUUGCAUGAAAUAUGACAUUUUACGAAAUGCUCAUAAACAUGCCAUGAACAUAAUAAAAUGCAAACAUGCAACAACCACUCAUCAUAUCAAAAGUUCAAACAUGCUUGCCUGGUUCGGAGUAGUCGCAGUCUAACUGGGUGAAGUUCGCAGCUCCGUCACCUCCUCCGGUAUCUACGGUAUAAGAAAAAUACGUUCGUAAUGUAAAUACCACGAGGUGCACAAAAGUAUUCCAAAUAUUUCUUAGAUAAAUCUGAUAAACAACUAGAUAAAAUUUUAAAGAGGACAGAAAAAGAAUCAAACAAAAAUCCUUCUCUGUUUAAAAGUUAUAAGGGUUUUAAUUCAGGGACCUUUCUAUAAUGAAACAGAAAACUCUCAGGGGGCUGAGCAGAAAAGUCCAGAAAACAAUACGGAUUAGAAAGCGCAUUUGCCAGAAUACGCUUUCAGAAAAUGGUUCAAAAAAAAACAGAGAGGCUGACGGGCGGGUCCCACCCGUCAGGUUUGAAUAAUCAAAUGAGGGAGACGGGGCUCGUCGGCGCCCGAGAGCUGCGGUGGUCGCCGACGGCGAUUCACGGCGAGGCAAGGGGAUCGGGUGGUACCUCCAUGUUCAGUGCGUCCUUACGCGUCGGUGGGUGGUGGUGGUGGUCGCCGGCGAGCACCACGACAACGGCGGCCCUUGCUCCGACGAACGGUGGUUUGGGUAGUCGUGGGCCUCGUCGGAGAGAGCUGUUGGGGUCAAAUCAGAGUGGGGGUUAGUCUCCUAGAGGUGUCAUGAGGCUACGGGCAAGUCUAGGGCGGUGGAGGAGCUCUCACCAGAGAGAACGCUGCCGGAGCCCGAAGCGGACGGAGGUGGCCGGAGUUGAGGAAGAAGGGCCCCUCGAGGCUCUUCCAGUGGCUGGGCGGGGUCUGGUGAGGUGGUGGAGAUGUGCGGGAUCGAGAGCGAGCUCGGAGGCGCUAUUUAUAGCCGGCCCUAGGCAGUUGCCGUGAACGGGAUAAGUCCGGCGAGCGAUUACGGCGGCGCUGUGGCUGGACGGUUGGUUUAGGGGCUUGAGAAUCGUCUAGACGGAGUACUGAUUCCAUCCCGGUGCCUAACUCAGCAAGGCAGGGGCGGUUACGGCCUGUCCCCAACGGAACGGCCGUACGGCACGUCGGCGGCAGAGAGCGCGCCCUGAGCGUGCCAGGGCACGACGACAGUGCUGCAGGCGUGCACUGGCAAGGGAGACGGCCACGCGGAGCUCCCAGGUGGCUUGGGCGGUGCCGAAUGGCGUUGUGCCGCAGGGUGCCCCCUGUCGGCCGCCACGGGAGGUUCUGCCGCCGCGGAAGACGCUGGUGCAGGCGGGCCAGUGUGCCACCGACGCCAGGAACCAGCCAAGUGCGCGUGCGGCACUCCAGACAGGGAGGAGGGGCCGUGCGCAACGCGCCAGACACACAGUUGACAGGUGACUGAACACUGACGAAGAAACGACACUGAACUUUCUGAAACUCUGAAAUUUUCUGAAAAUGCAUAGUAACAGUGCUGGCUAGGUGUUCGACAUAAUGCUUCUGGUAUGUGGGAGGUUCUCCUUGAGCUGAUUUAUGGUGGGGUGGCCUCUCAUUGCAUCUGGGGGCUGCCUGAAUUUUGGUGGAAUUUUUGGAGAAGAGGAGAUAUGAAUUUCACCAAAUUUGACAAAUCUGGUCCAAACUUGCAAAGACUGAAAUUUGAAAAUUUUGAAAAGAAGAAGAGUGGAUCUUGAUGAUUCUAGGUUGUGGGUACUAAGCACUAUCCAGAGGAGUUGGUUUGAGAUCAAAACUCAAAGGAAAUUAGGCACUUCCUUUGUAGAGCAUCUAGGCUUAGAAAUAAUGGCAGAAUUGUUUUGAGGAGAAAAACAAAAGGAUAAAAAUCCAAAAAUGGAUUUAACUUGUUGGGCAGAAUGUUUGGAUUGCCCUAAAGUGGAAGGAGGGAUUUUUGGGAGAAUUUUACCACAAGAGGCAUGGUAAAAACAAGAAUGGAUCAAAACCAAAAAAACAGCCCAAAACCAAAAAGGUUUCUUUUUGAAGAAAUUAAAUCCAAGAAAUGCUCUUGAGAAGAAAAACUCAGAAGAGAGGUUUUUAAGAAGGGUUUAAAUGACCUUCUUCAAACCAAGCAAGGCUUUUGCUGCAAAAAAAACAACAAUAUUUUUGGAGUGUCACAGCACCUACCCCCUUAGGAAAAAUCUCGUCCCUGAGAUUUCAGCUGAUCCUCAAACAGGUGUGGGUGCUCUGUCCGAAGAAAAUCCUAUCUUUCCCAAGUUGCUUCAUUCUCGGUGUGAUUGCUCCACUGAACUCUAAAAAACUUGAUGGUUUUCUGUCGGGUCCUCCUUUCAGACUCCUCUAAUAUUUUUAUUGGGCGCUCCCGGUAGGUGAGGUCUGGUUGCAUGUCUAUGUUUUCAUGUGAUACUUGCUUCUCUGGGUUGCUCAUGUACUUCCUCAACUGUGAGAUGUGGAACACAUUGUGGACAUCGGAUAAAUCUUCGGGUAAGUCUAGCUGGUAGGCUACCGUGCCCCUUCGGGCCACUAUACAGAAUGGUCCGAUGAAUCUUGGUGCCAGAUUUCCCUUAACCUUGAAUCGUUGCAGACCCCUCAUAGCAGAAACUCUUAGGUACACAAACUCUCCGGGUUCAAAACUGAUUUCCCGAUGCUUUUGAUCGUAAUAACUCUUUUGUCGACUCUGAGCUGUCUUGAGUCAAUCCCUAAUCAUCUUAACUUUUUCCUCAGCCUUCUUGAGCAUAUCUGGGCCGAAGAUAUGGCUGUCUCUGGUCUCUGACCAAUUUAGCGGUGUACGGCAUCUUCGCCCGUACAGAGCUUCAAAUGGUGCCAUUUGCAGGCUGGCUUGAUAACUAUUGUUGUAUGCGAACUCUGCAUACGGCAAGGUUUCUUCCCAACUGGUUCCGUAGGUGAGAACACACGCUCUCAGGAUGUCUUCUAGAAUUUGGUUUACGCGUUCAGUUUGCCCAUCAGUCUGGGGGUGGUAUGCGGUACUGAAUGCUAGUUGGGUUCCCAGUGCCUGUUGUAGGUGAUCCCAAAAUCUAGAGACGAACUGUGUGCCUCUAUCAGAUAUGAUAGUCUUUGGGACUCCAUGCAGGCAUACGGUACGGGCAAGAUAAAGCCGGGCAAGCUUCUGUGUGGUGUGAGUUGACUUCGUCGGAAUAAAAUGUGCUACCGUAGUUAAUCUGUCGGUGAUGACCCAUAUGGCAUUAUUUCCGUGUCGUGACCAAGGUAGCCCAACAAUAAAAUCCAUUCCAAUCUCGUCCCAUUUCCACUCAGGUAUCUUGUUUGGCUGUAAUAGUCCAGCUGGUUUUUUGGUGCUCGGCCUUGAUACGUUGACAAGAAUCACAGCAUGCAAUGAAUGUGGCUAUGUCCCUUUUCAUACCGUGCCACCAAAAAUUUUCCUGAAGGUCUUUGUCCAUUUUUGUCCCUCCAGGAUGGAUUGAAUAUGGAGCGGUGUGGCUUUCAGCUAGAAUCUGCUGUUUGAGGUCCUUGAUAUUUGGUACGCAAAUUCUUUCUCCGUACCACAAUAUUCCUUGCUCAUCUACGUUGAAUUCUGAGGCCUUGCCCAAACUCACUUUCCUUUUUAUGCCAUCAAUGCUGGGGUGUCCAUGCUGAGCCUCCUUAAUCUUUUCCAUCAGGGUAGGUUGUAUUUCCAAAUUCCACACACUACCUUCUGUGAUCAUUAUUAGGUUGAGUUUGGCAAAUUCCUGUUGAAAUUCUGGCCUCAAAUUUGGCAUACUGUCGUUGCCCGAGCUGGGGUUCCGACUAAGGGCAUCUGCUACUACAUUUGCUUUUCCGGGAUGAUAGUGGAUUCCAACAUCAUAAUCCCUCACUAACUCCAACCAGCGUCGUUGCUGUAAAUUGAGUUCCGGCUGUGUGAAAAUGUACUUAAGGCUCUGAUGGUCUGUGUAUAUUUCACAACGAUUUCCAAGUAGAAAGUGUCUCCAUUCUUUGAGUGCAUGGAUGACUGCUGCCAAUUCCAAGUCAUGAGUAGGAUAAUUUUCCUCAUGCUUGCAAAGUUGUCUGGAGACAUACGCAAGUACCUUGCCUUCUUGCAUCAAUACGCAUCCGAGGCCCUUCCGGGAUGCGUCACAAUAUACCUCAAAACUCUUGUGUAUGUCUGGCACAAUUAAUACUGGUGCCGAUGUUAAUUUCCUUUUUAGCUCUUGGAAGCUUUUCUCACAGGCUUCCGUCCAUUCAAACUUCUUGUCUUUCUUGAGUAACUGCGUCAUUGGCUUUGCUAUGGUGGAGAAUCCUUCAAUAAAUCUCCGGUAAUAGCCUACCAUUCCCAAGAAACUUCGUACGUCCGUUACGUUAGCUGGUGGUUUCCAGCCAAGUACGGCCUUGACCUUUUCCGGAUCUACGGCAAUUUCUUCUUGGGUGAGUACGUGGCCCAGAAAACCCACCUGUCUUAGCCAAAAUUCACAUUUGCUGAACUUGGCGUACAAUUGAUGUUUCCUGAGUUCUCCCAGUACAAUUCUGAGAUGUUCGGUGUGCUCUUCUGGUGUCUUGGAGUAUAUCAGAAUGUCAUUGAUGAAUACCACAACAAACUUGUCCAUAUACUUCAUAAAUACCUUGUUCAUGAGGUGAACAAAAGAUGCGGGAGCGUUUGUUAGCCCAAAUGGCAUUACUGUGAAUUCAUAUAGUCCAUAUCUGGAAGUGAAGGCUGUCUUGGGAAUAUGUUCUGUUCGCACUUUUAAUUGGUGGUAUCCCGAUCUCAAGUCAAUUUUUGAGAAGACUUUGGCCUGAGCGAGCUGAUCAAAUAAAUCAUUUAUUCGGGGCAUUGGGUAUUUGUUCUUGAUUGUGACCAUGUUAAGAGCUCGAUAGUCUAUACACAAUCUCAGUGUUCCAUCCUUUUUCUUGGCAAAUAAAAUUGGAGAACCCCAAGGUGAGGAACUGGCUCAUAUGUAUCCUUUCUCCAAUUAUUCUUUUAUUUGCUUCUUCAAUUCUACCAAUUCGGAUGGUGCCAUUCUGUAUGGUUUCUUGUAAAUGGGAGCGGUUCCGGGUGCUAGCUCAAUGCUGAAUUCUAUCUCUCGGUCUGGUGGCGUUCCUGGUAGUUCUUCUGGAAAUACGUCCGGAAAUUCACACACUACUAGAACCUUGUUCAACUCAGAAAUGUCCACCUUGUUUAAUCUCGGUUGCCGAGGUAUUUGUCUCUCUUUGGCUGAAAUUUUUAUUGUCUUCCCGUGAUGGUGUGUGAGAAUUACGGUCCGGUUGAAGCAGUCAAUAAAACCUUUGUUGGUGGUUAAUCAAUCCAUCCCUAGGAUGACAUCCAGUCCUUUACUUUCCAAUAUGAUAAGGUUGGCAUAAAACUUCAAUCCUCCAAAUUGAAUAACCACACCUUGACAGUAAUUCUGGGUCACUUGCUUAAUCCCAGGGGACUUGAUGAUCAUGGACUUUUCCAGGGGAAGCAUCGAAAAAUUAUUUUGCAAAGCAAAACUCUUCGAAAUGAAUGAAUGAGAAGCUCCAGAAUCAAACAAUACCAUGGCAGGUAUUGUGUUGACAGGGAACAUACCGAGUACGAUAUUUGGGGCGUUCUGUGCUUCCUCUUUGGUCACGUGGUUCAGAUGACCCUUCCUGUGGUUGUUAUUGGGGUUGAAAUUGUUUCGCUUGGGCGCUGAAUUAUUGCCACCAUUGUUAGGCUUUGGGGUUGAGUUCCUUGGCUUGGGGCACUGCUUGGCAUAGUGCCCUUCUUCUCCACAAGCGUAGCAAGUGACGCCUGGGCGAUAUGUGAACUCCUUGUCCCUUGCAUGGAAAUUCUUGAUUGGGCGUGAAUUAUUCGUCGUGGGUUUAUGUGUCCCACCUUUCUGAAAUUCUGUCUUGCUUCGGGGGUUGCGAGCAAAAGUAGACUGGUCCCUUUUGCGUUUGCGAAAUCUUCCAAGCUGCGUCUCUCAUUUUCCAAGGUAAUAGCCUUAUCCACCAGUGUUUUAAAAUCUAGGAAGGUGUGCACGACCAGCUGGCAUUUAAGCGCGGGUGCUAGGCCUUCCAAGAAUUUUUCCAUCUUCUUGCUUUCAGUCAUACGCUCUUCGUUGGCGUAGCGAGACAGCAGAGUAAAUUGGAUGUUGUAUUCUGACACUGUCAUGGUCCUCUGUUUGAGGUCAUCAAAUUCUCUCUUCUUGAUCUUCAUAACACUUUUAGGAAUGUGUGCCCCACGAAAACCUUCUUUGAAAUCCUCCCAGGUUAUUUCAUUUUCGUUGGUGCGCAUGUGUAGGAAUUUUUCCCACCACGAUGCAGCUGCUCCCGUGAGAUAAUGCGGUGCAUAUAGUACUUUCUCACGGUCUGAACACUGUGCAAUGACUAAUUUUCUCUCCAUGUCUCGAAGCUAGUCGUCGGCCUCAAGAGGUUUGUCAGUAUGAGAAAAUGUUGGGGGACGCGUCUUCUGUAACUCAGAUAACUUGGAUUGCUGCUGAUACUGUCCACGGUGAUUUCCCAUAUUGAUGAAUUGGUUCAUCAUUUCCUGAUGUUGUUGCUGACUCUAUUCAUAAAGACGACACACUUGGGUAAAUGCUGUUUCAUUGUCCUGUUGACUUGUCUGUCCCUGAGUGAAAUUGUGGUUUGGUGGUGUGCCUUAAUUUUCUUCUGGCUGAUUUGGCAUGGAGCGCGUCCAAGGACGAGAGAUCUUUCACUCUGGGGAUAUAUUUUGUGAAACUCGUAAGACAAGAAAGAGAGUCGCAAAAGUCAAUAAAAUCACAAAUACGGGAAAUUUUAAAAGCUCCAAGGAAAAUACAUGAUUUGCACGCGGAGAAGGACUAUUACAUAUCUUACAUGCGGGCAGCAAUUAUACAAUACAUCACUCAGGAUAUGUGUACAUAAUCCUGACAUGUUAUUGAGACUAGUGCACUUCUCCAGACCCUACAUGAUGCGCAAACAAGCUACUUCUCACAACCUAUGUAUAUAUAAACAUAUCACACAAGUCGAUGCAUAGCAUGGCGGCUAAGCGUACUCAGUCGGAGAUGGUGAGGACCUCCCUUGGCCUGCUGAGGGUGAGGCGCAGUGAGGCGGGGGACUCAACUUCCUCCUUGCUAAUAGGUUCCAUACGAGAAGAGCCGUGCUGAGAUGAUGGAGCGGGUGCCAUAGGCGGAGUAACACGAAUAUGAGUGGGCGCAAUAGGUGAAGUAGCACGAAUAGGAAUGGGUGCAAUAACUUGGUUGAACUCCUCGGUGGUAGGCAGACGACGAGCAGUGGCGAGAAUGGUAGGUGAAUGAGAUGCUGAGAACGAGAGGAAAGUCAGCGGUGGAGCGGUGUGCAAGAGUUCCCUCCUGUUGGCGGUACAGCCAUGGACUGAGUCCAUGCGGGCAGCAACAAGGUCGUCCACCAUGCUGUCGAAGGCUGUCUCCAGAGCUCAGAGGUACUCGACAAGCAUCUCAAAGGCCUCGUCAUGUUCUCCUCUGGGGCAAGUGAAUGAGUAAUGACAGGUGUAAGGCAGGUGGCAUGGGAGGUAGCGGUAGCGACGGGUCUUCAUUGCAGGAAGAACAUCCCGGAGAUGAGCUAUCGCCUCAAGGGCAUCCAUCUGCAUAGCAUGCCUCUCUGUAGGCAUGGCUCUCCCCAAGAACCGGAAGCGGCGUAACUCAACGCGCCCUCCCUUGAGUUGCACCGAGGCCUGGUGCAUGGUCAGACUGUCGUUGAUCUUGUGUGGGUAGAGUGUGAAGACUAUGCGCGCUAACAGCCCCAUCGCGACCUGAACGACGAAGGAGAGGAGCUUGACGAACCCCUCAGGCACGUUGGCGAACAUCUAUGACUCACAGUCGUUGCCAGCCAUCUACAAAAGUAGGAAAAAAUUCUGAACGAUCAGAUCAUAAAUUUUAUGCUGACUGUCAGAAAAAUGACUACAUUUGCAAAAACAUGGAUAAACUCUAUCAUGCUAAUAACCAAUUAGCGAUCACACCUAGUGGCUUCCUACAGUCAGCCUGGCUCUGGUACCAAGUUUGUCACGACCGGUUUUUCAAUAAAAUACUUAUUGAUAAAUCGAUCUCUUGAUUCCAGUAUAGGAAGAGUUAUCCUUACUGGUAGACAAAUACUUGAAUACAGAAGACUAGUAGAAUCAAAUAUAUUACAGGGUUGAGCUGAGGAUGCUCAACAAUUUAUUACAAACACGCCAAUAUCAUACAUAAGGGCGGUUAUGACACAGGGGUGUGGUGACAUGCUACUAGCUCAAGAUAAAAGUGGUGGUGGAUAACUUGACUUCUAAUUGGCAGCUCAUCGAGCGUCGAGGUGAGGCUCGAUGAAUUUAUUUCUGGGGUAGCGGAAGCGGAUAUAAUACAGUGACCAAAUCCAAGAUCGCACGGGACUGACUGGGACUCCUCUAGGCGUCGGACUCGCUAUCGAACUCUUCAUCCAUGAGAUCGCCUUCGUCAACAUCUGGCCAAAUCAACAAGCCAGGUGAGUACUUUGAAAGUACUCGCAAGACAGUUCGGACAAAAGAUAUAACAAAUGCAUGCAUGAAUGCGUCAUGAGCAAAAAUAAUGAUGCUCAUCCAAAUAAUAAAAAUGCACGACAUGGUAAGUGAAACAAACAACUGAAAACCGAUCGGGUGUCUGGAGUGACGCCUCGAAAGGUAAACAAAUGAAAAUCAUGCCGCAGUUGGGCGUCUAGGCGACACCACAUAAAGGGCUUAUGUUGAAAAGUAAAAGACAAGCGUGCCACAGUCGGACGUCUGAGCGACAUCGCAGAAAGGGCUUAUAUCAAAAGUAAAUAACAAGCGUGCCACAGUCGGACGUCUGAGCGACAUCACAGAAAGGGCUUAUAUCAAAAGUAAAUAACAGGUGUGCCACAGUCGGACGUCGAAGCGACAUCACAGAAAGGGCUUAUAUCAAAAGUAAAUAACAGGUGUGCCACAGUCGGACGUCUGAGCGACAUCACAGAAAGGGCUUAUAUCAAAAGUAAAUAACAGGAGUGCCACAGUCAGACGUCUGAGCGACAUCACAGAAAGGGCUUAUAUCAAAAGUAAAUAACAUGUGUGCCACAGUCGGACGUCUGAGCGACAUCACAGAAAGGGCUUAUAUCAAAAAUAAAUAACAGGUUAGUCCAUCCAUAAGAAUAAACUUUUAACCGAACUUAACACUCAUGUAGUUCACCGGAGUUUUGUCACUGAGACUGACAUUUGAUGAGAUAAGAUGAUCACAGUACUUGGACAUGUACAAGAUGGUUCAAGGGAUUUUUGACUCUGCAGAGUUUGUACUAACUGCCCACAGCCAACGGAUUUCCAUAGUCACGAAUGACUAGUUCCGUUUACGGUAUUUCGAUAGAAACACAUCUAACCAGUACACACCCAUUCCACCUCACGAUGCCAGGAAUCACCCUUGACAACGUCCAAGAAAAACUUUGAGACGGGGAGGUCACAACCUCGAAUAGCAUGGGAUCAAAUUUCUGUACGCGCGCUCUAAGGGGUGCCCCCCUCUCGGUCCCAACCGGAAACACCCAUGCCCCUGACCGGAUGACAGGCUGUAAUCCAGGGCCAUGGAACCCUCAUCCCGGCCUCUCUAUUUGGUGUGUACCAGGAAGGUGGUUUGCAACUUACUAAGCCAUAUUCCUUGUGGAAAACAUGUGGUAGUACCGAAAAGGAAAUGAAUGGGAAUGUGACUUGAUUCACGUUGACACUGAAGUCAAAUAGUCUGGCGUAAGACUGGCAUGCCACAACACUGCCAUCUUACCCAUUCUCAUGCCAUCACAUGGCCAUGCAAACUUAUAUCCAACAACAUAUGGAUUUCAGAAAAUCACUUGCCUUAUCUUUGCAUGAAAUAUGACAUUUUACGAAAUGCUCAUAAACAUGCCAUGAACAUACUAAAAUGCAAACAUGCAACAACCACUGAUCAUAUCAAAAGUCCAAACAUGCUUGCCUGGUUCGGAGUAGUCGCAGUCUAACUGGGUGAAGUUCGCAGCUCUGUCACCUCCUCCGGUUUCUACGGUAUAAGAAAAAUACGUUCGUAACGUAAAUACCACGAGGUGCACAAAAGUAUUCCAAAUAUUUCUCAGAUAAAUCUGAUAAACAACUAGAUAAAUUUUUAAAGAGGACAGAAAAAGAAUCAAACAAAAAUCAUUCUCUGUUUAAAUGUUAUAAGGGUUUUAAUUCAGGGACCUUUCUAUAAUGAAACAGAAAACUCUCAGGGGGCUGAGCAGAAAAGUCCGGAAAACGAUUCGGAUUAGAAAGCGCAUUUGCCAGAAUACGCUUUCAGAAAAUGGUUCGAAAAAAAGAACAGAGAGGCUGACGGGCGGGUCCCACCCGUCAGGUUUGAAUAUUCAAACGAGGGAGACGGGGCUCGUCGGCGCCCGAGAGCUGCGGUGGUCACCGACGGCGAUUCACGGCGAGGAAGGGGGAUCGGGUGGUACCUCCAUGUUCAGUGCGUCCUUCCGCGACGGUGGGUGGUGGUGGUGGUCGCCGGCGAGCACCACGUCGACGGCGCCCUUGCUCCGGCGGACGGUGGUUCGGGUAGUCGUGGGCCUCGUCGGAGAGAGCUGUUGGGGUCAAAUCGGAGUGGGGGUUAGUCUCCUAGAGGUGUCAUGAGGCUACGGGCAAGUCUAGGGCGGUGGAGGAGCUCUCACCAGAGAGAACGCUGACGGAGCCCGAAGCGGACGGAGGUGGCCGGAGUUGAGGAAGAAGGACCCCUCGAGGCUCUUCCAGUGGCUGGGCGGGGUCUGGUGAGGUGGUGGAGAUGUGCGGGGUCGAGAGCGAGCUCGGAGGCGCUAUUUAUAGUCGUCCCGAGGCGGUUGCCGUGAACGGGAUAAGUCCGGCGAGCGAUUACGGCGGUGCUAUGGCUGGACGGUUGGUUUAGGGGCUUGAUCAUCGUCUAGACGGAGUACUAAUUCCAUCCCGGUGCCUAACUCAGCAAGGCAGGGGCGGUUACGGCCUGUCCCCAACGGAACGGCCGUACGGCACGUCGGCGGCAGAGAGCGCGCCCUGAGCGUGCCAGGCCACGAUGACGGUGCUGCAGGCAUGCGCUGGCAAGGGAGACGGCCACGCGGAGCUCCCAGGUGGCUUGGGCGGUGCCGAACGGCGUUGUGCCGCAGGGUGCCCCCUGUCGGCCGCCACGGGAGGUUCUGCCGCCGCGGAAGACGCCGGCGCAGGCGGGCCAGGGUGCCACCGAUGCCAGGAACCAUCCAAGUGCGUGUGCGGCGCUCCGGACAGGGAGGAGGGGUCGUGCGCAACGCGCCAGGCGCACAGUUGACAGGUGACUGAACACUGACGAAGAAACGACACUGAACUUUCUGAAACUCUGAUUUUUUCUGAAAAUGCAUAGUAACAGUGCUGGCCAGGUGUUCGACAGAAUGAUUCUGGUAUGUGGGAGGUUCUCCUUGAGCUGAUUUAUGGUGGGGUGGCCUCUCAUUGCAUCUGGGGGCUGCCUGAAUUUUGGUGGAAUUUUUGGAGAAGAGGAGAUAUGAAUUUCACCAAAUUUGACAAAUCUGGUCCAAACUUGCAGAGACUGAAAUUUGAAAAUUUUGAAAAGAAGAAGAGUGGAUCUUGAUGAUUCUAGGUUGUGGGUACUAAGGACUAUCCAGAGGAGUUGGUUUGAGAUCAAAACUCAAAGGAAAUUAGGCACUUCCUUUGUAGAGCAUCUAGGCUUAGAAAUAAUGGCAGAAUUGUUUUGAGGAGAAAAACGAAAGGAUAAAAAUCCCAAAAUGGAUUUAACUUGUUGGGACAGAAUGUUUGGAUUGCCCUAAAGUGGAAGGAGGGAUUUUUGGGAGAAUUUUACCACAAGAGGCAUGGUAAAAACAAGAAUGGAUCAAAACCAAAAAAACAGCCCAAAACCAAAAAGGUUUCUUUUUGAAGAAAUUAAAUCCAAGAAAUGCUUUUGAGAAGAAAAACUCAGAAGAGAGGUUUUUAAGAAGGGUUUAAAUGACCAUCUUCAAACCAAGCAGGGCUUUUGCUGCAAACAAAAACAACCAAAUUUUUGGAGUGUCACAGAGCCUAAGCUUGGGGAUGCCCCAGAAGGCAUCCCCUCUUUCGUCUUCGUUCAUCGGUAACUUUACUUGGAGCUAUAUUUUUAUUCACCACAUGAUAUGUGUUUUGCUUGGAGCGUCAUUUUAUUUUGCUAGUAUUUUCUUUAUGUUAUUUAUAAUAAUGUUUUGCAUAUUUAUUUUCAAUAAAAAUGUCAAGGAUAGCCUUUACCAUGCUUAUUUUGCUAGUAUACAUGUUGCUGUUUGAAAACAGAAAGUUUACCGCUGUUGCAAUAAUUCCCUAGAAAAUUCAGAGAAUGAUAUAGAGUUGAAUUUUCUUGCAUAUUGAGCUCUGAUAAAUCUUCUACAACAUAGUAUUUUUCUCAUAAUUUGUGGAGUUAGGGAAGUAUGAUGAAUCUUGCAUUCUUUACAGACUAUACUGUUUUGGCAGAUUGCUGUUAUGUUUGCAUUGUUUGCAUAUGUUUGCUUGUUUAAUGAUUCUAUUUGAGGAUAGGAGUAUUAAAUAUGCAGAGGCAUUUAGUAUGCAAUGUGGAAUAAUAAUUUUAGUGUUUUGUUACAGUAAAAAAUGAUAAGGUUUUGCAUUGGUUUAUACUAACCUAUCUCACGAGUUCUUGUUGAGUUUGUUGUGGAUGAAGCUUUUGAUAAAAAGAGAAACCUUGAUAUGAGAGGAAUUAAGGAGACACAAAAGUUCAAUCUUGGGGGUGCCCAAGGCACCCCAAGAUAAUAUUUCAAGAAGUCUCAAUCAUCUAAGCUUGGGGAUGCCCCGGUAGGCAUCCCACCUUUCUUCUUCAACAACUAUCGGUUAGUAUCGGUUGAGCCUAAGUUUUUGCUUCUUCACAUGAGUUGUGCUAUCCUUGCAAUGUCAUUUUAUUUUUCUUUGCUUGUUGUUUGAAUAAAAUACCAAGAUAUGAAAUUCUUAAAUGAGAGAGAGAGUCUUCACAUAGUUACAUAAUUAUUUAGCUACUCAUUGAUCUUCACUUAUAUUUUUUUGGAGUAGUUUGUCAUUUACUCGUGUGCUUCACUUAUAUCCUAUGAGUAAAUGGUUGAAUGAGUUGAAAGUCAUAAAUCUGAAAUUAUAUAUGUUUAAUUUGCUUAUCCCAUGGGGAGUAAUGACUUCACAUCUAAGAAGUAGAGGCUGUAAAUUUAUUGAAGGUUAGCAAGCAUUGUAUUGGUCAUUUGAACAAUUCAUGAAAGAAUAUUGAAGGAAGAGAGAUUUCACAUAUAAAUAUACUAUCCUAGACAUCUUUUAUAAUUGUGAGCCCUCAUUAAGUAUGCCAUGCUAAAGAGUUGAUGUUGGACAAGGAAGACAACGUAUUGGGUUAUGUUUUCUCACAUCUCAGUUAAAGUAUAUUGUCAUGGAUCAUUCAAACAUGUUGAGCUUGCCUUUCCCCCUCAUGGUAGCCAAAAUUCCUUGCACCAAGUAGAGAUACUACUUGUGCUCCCAAAUAUCCUUAAACUCAGUUUUGCCAUGAGAGUCCACUAUACCUACCUAUGGAUUGAGUAAGAUCCUUCAAGUAAGUUGUCAUCGGUGCAAGCAAUAAAAAUUUCUCUCUAAAUAUGUAUGAUCUAUUAGUGUAAAGAAAAUAAGCUUUAUACGAUCUUGUUAUGGAAGCAAUAAAAGCGACCGACUGCAUAAUAAAGGUCCAUAUACAAGUGGCAAUAUAAAGUGACAUUCUUUUGCAUUAAGAUUUUGUGCAUCCAACCAUAAAAGCGCAUGACAACCUCUGCUUCCCUCUGCGAAGGGCCUAUCUUUUACUUUAAGUCUUUUACUUUACGCAAGAGUCAAGGUGAUCUUCACCUUUCCCUUUUUCAUUUUAUCCUUUGGCAAGCACCUCGUGUUGGAAAGAUCCUGAUAUAUAUGUAUAUCCAAUUGGAUGUAAGUUAGCAUGAAAUAUUAUUGUUGACAUCACCCAAAGGUGAAUACAUUGGGAUGCAAUACUAUAAGCCCCUAUCUUUCUCAGUGUCCGAUUAAAACUCCAUAACCAUAAGUAUUGUGUGAGUGUUAGCAAUUGUAGAAGACUAUAUGAUAUUUGAGUAUGUGGAGUUUGCUAAAUCAAAGCACUGACAUGGACCCUUCCUGAAAAUAAGAUGAGUUAUAAUUGUUUGAUGACUAAGAAUGAAGUUUGCUAGUUUUCAACAAAGUUUGUGGUCUAUGCUUUAACAUGUGAAUAGCUUGUUACUUGACUUUGAGAAGUUUCAUGAGAUGAACUACUGUUAUGACAUAUAAUCAUGCUAGAAAAGGUGAUUGAAAUUAUCAUUAGUCAAACUUGUGCACCUGCUAGCAUUCACACUUCAUAAAUUCUUUCUUUUAUCAUUUACCUACUCGAGGACGAGCAGGAAUUAAGCUUGGGGAUGCUGAUACGUCUCCAACGUAUCUAUAAUUUAUGAAGCAUUCAUACUAUAUUAUUAUCUAUUUUGAAUGUUUAUGGGCUUUAUUAUACACUUUUAUAUUACUUUUGGGACUAACCUAUUAACCGGAGGCCCAGCCCAUAUUGCUGUUUUAUUGCCUAUUUCAGUAUUUCGAAGAAAAGGAAUAUCAAACGGAGUCCAAACGGAAUGAAACCUUCGGGAGCGUGAUUUUUGGAACAAACGUGAUCUAGGAGACUUGGAGUUGAAGUAAAGGAAACUUCGAGGUGACCACGAGGGUGGGGGGGCGCGCCCCCUGUCUCGUGGGCCCCUCGAGACUCCCUCAACCGACUUUUUUCACCUAUAUAUUCCCAUAUUCCCUAUAACCAUCGAAGAAAAAGAUAGAUUGGGAGUUCCGCCGCCGCAAGCCUCUGUAGCCACCAAAAACCUCUCGAGAGCCCGUUCCGGCACCCCGCCAGAGGGGGAACUGAUGACCCACAAGUAUAGGGGAUCUAUCGUAGUCCUUUCGAUAAGCAAGAGUGUCGAACCCAACGAGGAGCAGAAGGUAAUGAUAAGCGGUUUUCAGUAAGGUUUUCUCUGCAAGCACUGAAAUAAUAGGGGAUAGAUAGUUCUGUGAUAAGAUAAAUUGUAACAAGCAAAAAGUAAAUAAAGUAAAUAAAGUGCAGCAAGGUGGCCCAAUCCUUUUUGUAGCAAAAGAUAAGCCUGGACAAAUUCUAAUAAUGAAGAAGGAGCUCCCGAGGACACAUUGGGAAUUAUCAUCAAGCUAGUUUUCAUCACGUUCAUAAGAUCCGCGUUCGGUACUUUGAUAAUUUGUUAUGUGGGUGGACCGGUACUUGGGUACUGUCCUAACUUGGACAAGUAUCCCACUUAUGAUUAACCCCUACUGCAAGCAUCCGCAACUACAAAAAGGAGUAUUAAGGUAAACCUAACCACAACAUUAAACAUAUGGGUCCAUAUCAACCCCUAACAAAGCAACGCAUAAACUAGGGUUUAAGCUUCUGUCAGUCUAGCAACCCAUCAUCUACUUAUUACUUCCCUAUGCCUUCCUCUAGGCCCAAGUACUGGUGAAAUGUCAUGUAGUCGACGUUCACAUAACACCACUAGAGGAAAGACAACAUACAUCUCAUCAAAAUAUCGAAUGAAUACCAAAUUCACAUGACUACUAAUAGCAAGACUUCACCCAUGUCCUCAGGAACAACCGUAACUACUAACAAAGCAUAUUCAUGUUCAUAAUCAGAGGAGUAAUAAUAUGCAUAAAGGAUCUGAACAUAUGAUCUUCACCAAGUAAACCAAUUAGCAUCAACUACAAGGAGUAAUCAACACUACUAGCAACCCACAGGUACCAAUUUGUGGUUUUGAUACAAAAUUGGAUACAAGAGAUGAACUAGGGUUUUGAGAGGAGAUGGUGCUGGUGAAGAUGUUGAUGGAGAUUGACCCCCUCCCGAUGAGAGGAUCGUUGGUGAUGACGUUGGUGAUGAUUUCCCCCUCCCGGAGGGAAGUGUCCCCGGCAGAACAGCUCCGCCAGAGCCCUAGAUUGAUUUCGCCAAGGUUCCGCCUCGUGGAGGCGGAGUUUCAUCCCGUAAGCUUGCCCAUGAUUUUUUCCAGGGUAAAAGUGAUGAUAUAGCAGAAGAUGGACGCCAGAGGCCCACCAGGGGGCCCAGGAGAUAGGGGGCCGCGCCCUACAAGGGGGGCGCCCCCUGUCUCCUGGACAGGGUGUGGGCCCCCUGGCCUAUUUCUUUCGGUAUAAAUUCUUAUUAAAUCCAAAAAGUUGUUUCAUGGAGUUUCAGGACUUUUGGAGUUGUGCAUAAUAGGUUUCCAACGUUUGCUCCUUUUCCAGCCAGAAUUCCAGCUGCCGGCAUUCCCCCUCUUCAUGGUAAACCUUGUAAAAUAAGAGGGAAUAGCCAUAAGUAUUGAGAUAUAAUGUGUAAUAACAGCCCAUAAUGCAAUAAAUAUUGAUAUAAAAGCAUGAUGCAAAAUGGAUGUAUCAACUCCCCCAAGCUUAGACCUCGCUUGUCCUCAAGCGGAAGCCGAAAUCGGAAAAUAUGUCCACAUGUUUAGAGAUAGAGGUGUCGAUAAAAAUAAAAUACAGACAUGAGGGCAUCAUGAUCAUUCUAAUAACAGCAACAUAUAUGUAUUUUGUCAUAUGAUUUCCUAUGCUCAAGUAAUAAGAAAUUCACAAUGUCAAGUAUUGUUCAAAUACUUCAUUGGGAACUAACAAACUAUAAUCUCAGUCAUUGAAGCAAUUGCAAUUUAUCGUAACAUCAGAAAGAGUCAAUAAUAGAGCUUUUCAGCAAGCUCACAUACUCAACUAUCUCUUAGUCUCCCAUAAUUGUUAACACUCAUGCAAUACUUGUGGUUAUAGAGUUUCAGCCGGACAUUGAGAAAGAUAGGGGCUUCUUGUGUUGCCUCCCAACAUAUUCACCUUUAGGUGAUGUCAACAAUAAUAGCCUAUGCCAACUUACAUCCAAUUGGAUAUAUGUAUCAUGAUCUUUCAAACACGAGGAGCUUGCCAAAGGAUAAAAAUAAAAAGGGAAAGGUGAGCAUCACCUUGACUCAAGCCUAAAGUAAAACAUAAAGUAAAAGAUAGGCCCUUCACAGAGGGAAGCAGAGGUUGUCAUGCGCGUUUAGGGUUGAUGCAUAAAAUCUUAGUGCAAAAGAAUGUCACUUUAUAUUGCCCCUUGUAUGUGGACCUUUAUUAUGCAGUCUGUCGCUUUUAUUACUUCCACAACAAGUUCGUACAAAGUUUAUUUUCUCUGCACUAAUAAGUCAUACAUAUUUAGAGAGCAAUUUUUAUUGCUUGCACCGAUGACAACUUACUUGAAGGAUCUUACUCAAUCCAUAGGUAGGUAUGGUGGACUCUCAUGGCAAAACUGGGUUUAAGGAUAUUUGGAAGCACAAGUAGUAUCUCUACUUGGUGCAAGGAAUUUGGCUAGCAUGAGGGGGAAAGGCAAGCUCAACAUGUUUGGAAGAUCAAUGACAAUAUACUUUAAUUGAGAUGUCGGAAAACAUAAACCAUUACGUUGUCUUCCUUGUCCAACGUCAACUCUUUUAGCAUGUCAUACUCAAUGAGUGCUUCAUAAUCAUAAAAGAUAGCACACGGACUCGAUUACAUAAAGAGAUCACAAUGCAAAACUCAAAACUACUUGAUAUCAAAACUUCAAUCUACUAGAUCAAGAUACUACUAAAAGGAUCGAACUAAAUAAAGCGGUAAAGAUAAGAGUGUGAUGGUGAUACGAUACCGGGGCACCUCCCGCAAGCUUGGCAGUUGCCAAGGGGAGUGCCCAUACCCUUGUGAUUAUUUCCUCGGAGGUGGUGAAGUAGGAGUUCUUGAUGAUGCAGGCUUGUCGUCCGUCUUCCAAGGCAUAGGCUCUCCAUCAUAAAAGGAUGAUCGAGUCUCCGGGAUCCUUAAAUCUGCAGCCAAACUCAUCCUUUUGAAUCUAUAUUCAUACUCACAGUUCUGGUUUUGCAGGUCAUAAAUCUGGGCUUGGAGGUGCUCGAUUUUCUCUUGAAGCUUGAAGAUAGUCUCCCCAAUGACUUUGGCAUCCAGCUUGUGGUUGUUGGUGAACUCAGUGAUCAUCAUCUGGUUGGCGUUGAGUCCACGCUCCACCAUCCCUUGACAGUUGAAAACUUCUUGCUCCAUGGCUUCAAGCUUUGUCUCCACGCUCCCGGUACGCCUUAGUCCCUCCACAUCGCGGAUGUGCAGCACCCCCUCACGCAUCUCAAUGGUUUGAGGAUGAUGCAGCACCUCCGCGAAAUAUGGGUUGAUAACCCUCUCGAAAAACUUGUCCUUGGGAGCGCUUGGAGACGACAUGAUGCUCUAGAUCUGAAACAGAAACAACUCGAAACGAAAACAGAGGAUAUUUGCAUGAUACGGUGGUCAAAACCUUUGGGAGUAUAUAUAAUGAAUUUUUACCGACCAAAAUACGUAACAUACAAGAAAACGGAGUCCGGGAGGCACAUGAGGUGCCCACGAGACAGGGGGCGCGCCCAAUAGGGGGGGGGCCUCCUCUCUCAUGGGAGCCUCAUGUCCCUUUCGGACUACUUCUUUAUUCCUAAAAUUCUUAAAUAAUCCAAAACUUAUAAAAAUUGCCAUUAGAGUUGUUUUGGAGUCGAUUUACUUACCAUACCACGUACCUAUGCCUUUUCGGAGUCUCGAACAUUCUGGAAAGUGUCUCUUAUGUAUUCCUCAGGGGUUAUGGUUUCAAUAAUAUUAGUUUCAACAUUGAUAGGAUUACCUGAAAUAUAAUGUUUAAUUCUUUGACCAUUUACUACCCUCGGAUUUGUGCCUUCGAAGUUGUUGAUUUUUAUAGCACCAGAACGAUAGAUCUGCUUGAUAACGUAGGGACCUUCCCAUUUUGAGAGAAGUUUUCCUACAAAAAAUCUUAAACGAGAGUUGAACAAUAACACAUAAUCUCCUACAUUAAACUCACGCUUUUGUAUCCUCUUAUCAUGCCAGUGUUUGACUUUUUCUUUGAAAAGCUUAGCAUUCUCAUAUGCUUGGGUUCUCCAUUCAUCAAGUGAGCUAAUAUCAAACAACCUCUUCUUGAUUAACCCAUAUUGCAAGCAUCCGCAACUACAAAAAGGAGUAUUAAGGUAAACCUAACCACAGCGUUAAACAUAUGGGUCCAUAUCAACCCCUAACAAAGCAACACAUAAACUAGGGUUUAAGCUUCUGUCACUCUAGCAACCCAUCAUCUACUUAUUACUUCCCUAUGCCUUCCUCUAGGCCCAAAUAAUGGUGAAGUGUCAUGUAGUCGACGUUCACAUAACACCACUAGAGGAGAGAUAACAUACAUCUCAUCAAAAUAUCGAACGAAUACCAAAUUCAUAUGACUACUAAUAGCAAGACUUCACCCAUGUCCCCAGGAACAAACGUAACUACUCACAAAGCAUAUUCAUGUUCAUAAUCAGAGGGGUAAUAAUAUGCAUAAAGGAUCUGAACAUAUGAUCUUCCACCAAGUAAACCAAAUAGCAUCAACUACAAGGAGUAAUCAACACUACUAGCAACCCACAGGUACCAAUUUGUGGUUUUGAUACAAGAUUGGAUACAAGAGAUGAACUAGGGUUUUGCGAUGAGAUGGUGCUGGGGAAGAUGUUGAUGGAGAUUGAGCCCCUCACUACAAAAAAAAAAGACACAUCCAUGACAUUUUGGGCCGAACGAAUUUUUUU